AAGGCUCAAUUCACUGGAUGGAAAUGGGGAAGACCACGUUCCAGGGCUCGGGAAUCUACGAGUUUUGAUGCUUGGAAAAUUACCAAAGUUGGAGGCACUGCCAGUGUGCAGCCUCACAUCCCUUGACAAACUUAUGAUUGAAGAAUGCCCUCAAUUGACUGAAAGAUGCAAGAAAACAACAGGGGAGGAUUGGCAUAAAAUCUCUCAUGUUUCAGAGAUAUAUAUUGAUGGCGUCAAAACACCAGAAAAUUAAGCAAGGUAUAAAAAUCUCUCAUGCACAACCUUUAACUAAUUAAUAUAUCUUAAUUCUUUAUAGUGUCCUGACAAUUCCCUAAUUCCUGUUUCAGGAGAUCCACUCAGAGUGAUGAUGAAGCCUAACAUGGAUUUGAGCAAGACACAUUCUUUUUUCCUUUUUUUCUUUUUGCCUUCAAGUAAAAGCAGUUUAUUCAUCAAUUGGGGGAGUGUUAUUGAACAAAAGUCUGGAAUCUAUUUAUUUUCCGUAAAUAUAAAGGUUAAGCCACUUCUCUUCAAUAUUUUACUUGGUAUCAGUUUGUUUUGAAUUGAUGGAAGUGGACUUGUUCAGCCCAAAGAAAUGAGGUGAUUGAUUUUUUAUUUUCUUUUCUACUUAAGGUGGUUUUGAAAGCCCAAGACUUGGCUUCAUUGUUCCACAGUCAUAACCUCAAAAGGCAUAAAUAAAAGCUUUAUGUGUCUAAUUUCGAUAAUUAUAAAAAAAAAUUAUAAUUCCAAUAUUAUUUUUGAAAAAUUAUGAUUUUAGUUUGAGUUUCAACUUCCAAGUAAAACAAAAAACAUAAAAAAAAUAUCCCAAACAAGAUGCAAGUGGCUGAGGAAUAUGUAAAUGGCUCACACAGUCACACUUGAAGAUAGGGUUAUGACUAUUCAAACCUUAUCCAAAUGAGAAGUGAUUAAAGUCAUGAGUUUAGAAAUUGGUACACAAUUGCUUUCAUUUUCCUUGAGCACCUACGUACUCUACCAACUUUAUUAUUAUUAUUAUUAUAAACAUUUUUGUCUUUUAUUUUUUACUAUAAAAAAAAUUAAUACUAUCAUGUUUAAUAUCUAUAAAAAUUUAAAAUUUACUUAUGUUAUCUAUUUAAAAAAUAAAUAAAAUAAAAUAAAAAUUGUAUCCUAAUGAUAUUCUAAUUAUUUAUUAUAUUUAAAAUUUAAAUUUAUCUUAAAUUCAUUAAAAUUAUGUUAAUUAUUUAUAAUUUUAAUCUCAUAAUAGAAAAUUAAAAAAAUCAAUUGCUAUAUGAGCCACUAUCAAACAGAAGUGGAUCAAUUAUUGAUAUUGUGUUAAUAUUAUGAUUUUAAUGUUAUUUAGAGUGUGAAAUGACAAGAGCUUACAGCUGGACUGCACCCAUUUAUUAGUGGUGUAUUGUCAAAAUCUUUCGGUAUCCAUGUGUAGUCUCAAAAAAACUGAGCAAAUUUAAAGCCUUGAGUUUGGAAAUUGUUACACGCAUGCUUUCAUUUUCCUUGAGCUAUCAUCAAAGUUAAAAAAAAAUAAAAAAUAAAAAAAUAAAAAAUAAAAAAAAUAAAAAUCUUCUUUCUUUAUAUUACAUAAUUAUGCAAUAUCUUGUUUUUUUAUUUACAAGAGAAAAAAAUUAAUAUUUAUAUGUUUGAUAUUUAUAAAAAAAUAAAAUAUUAUGUAAAAAAUUAUUUAUGUUUUCUAUUUUUAUAAAUACUAAAACAAAAUUUGUAUCCAAAUGAUAUCUCAAUUAUUUAUUUAUUUUAACCUAUACUAAAUUCAUUAAAAUUUGAUUAAUUAUUUAUGUAUAAUUUUAAUAUAAUUAUUUAAUUAUACUUUUCACAAGUCCAUGUGCAGAGUCAGCAAGAAUGGAAGAUCAAUUGUGACAGUUUGUGCAACAGUGGGUUCAAAAGAAUCCCCACAAACUGCAUUUCGUGCCUGUUUUUAAGCCCAUUUUCAAAAUUAAAAAGAAAAAAAAAGAAACAAAUUGUAGUCUACAGGGUAAUUUUACAAAACAUUAAAUGUGGAGGGUUGAUAGUGGGUAAGGAAGGUGAAUUGGCACGUGAUUGAAGAAAGGAGAAUUGUGUUUUGGGUCCAGUUGGCCCCAAAAAUUAACAUUUGGUCCAUAUAACUUUCAUAAUUAAUGGAAAUGAUAUGAGAUGUUAAAAGACUAAUAUAUCCUUCAAAUUUCUAUAUAUUAUCUUUUAAGGAUAUAAAAUAGUGAUGGACUAAAAUAUCCAAUGACCUUUUAUAUAAGUUUUUUUUGUCUUUAUUGUACCACUAUUCAUGCAACCAUAAUAAUUCUAUUUUAACAAUUUGGAUUUUUCAUUGUUUUUAUUUUUUUUAUAAAUAAUUGAAAACCAACAUUAUUUUCUAUUUUAAAUUAUAAAUAAAGAAAAAUUCUGUUAAAAAACUAAUUUAAAAAAUGCUUUCUAGAAAAAUGGUAAUAUGAUUUAUAUUUUUUAUGUUUUAUUUUUGAAAAAAAUAUUUAAUUAAAAAAUAAAAACUAUUUUUAAAAAUAAAAGUUGAAAACCUUGUUUAGUACUAUUUUUUAUAUGAAAAUAAUAAAAAUAAUUAAAUUAAUUGAUUAUCCAUUUUUAUUUUUUUCCAUUAGUUAUUUUAAUAAUAAAAUAAAAUAAAAAAUAGUAUGUUUAUAAUUAAACAAAGAAAUUGAUCAUUAUAUGUUUUUUGUGGGACUAUCUUUUACAUGAAAAAUAAUUCAAUAACUAAAUUAUAUAUAUUUAUUACACUUUUUAAUUUUAUUUUCUUUAUUUAUUUUUGUCUAAUAGAAAAUUUUAAUAUAUCCAUAAUUAACAAAGUAAUAAAUCAAUUGUGCACAUUUUAAUCUAUUAAAAUAAAUUACUUUCUAAUUUAAAUAAAUAAAAUGAAAUAAGUAAAUAAAUUUGGGGUUUUUUUUUUUAUUUUUUAACAUAUCUUAUAUCAAUAUUUUUUAUGGUUAAAUAAAUUUUUUAUUUUUUAUUUCUUUAAUUCCAAAAAUAAAAUGAAAUAAAUAAAUAAAUUUGGCAUUUUCUAAUUGAUCUUAUAUUCAUAUAUCUUAUGGUUAAAUAAAUUUUUUAUUUUUUUUCUUUAUUUCCAAAAAUAAAAGGAAAUAAAUAAAUAAACUUGGCUUAAAUAAUAGUUUUAAAGUAAUUUCUUUGUCUUAUUUUUAAUUACAUUUUGCAUUGAAAAUAAAAUAAAAUAACGUUUUAUUUGAGUCACUAUACAAGGUAUUUACACAAGUGUACAUGACAAAUAUACUAACUAUAUAAAGGUGUACAAUACUAUUAUUUGUGAAAGAUUUUAAGUGAUUUUGAAAAACUUGUUUGUUUAUUUUCCCUAACCGAAGAUAAAUGACAUUCCUUACACACAUUGGUUAAGCAUACAUUCAUCUCAUGCACUUUAUUUAAUUUGUAUAUGGUUAUUUGAAUAGGUACCUUACUUAUGAUGAUUGUAAAACAAAAUUAUACAAUGAUUUUUUUUCUUUUUUAAAACCAAACCAAUGCAAACAUGGUUAACCGACCUAUUGUCAGAUAUUCAUGAGAUGAUGUAUGAAAUUUGAGUUAUUGUACAAGGGUAUUACACUAAUUGUAUAAGACAAAUUUAUUAAUUGUACAAGGGUGUACAAGACUAUUUUUUAUUAAGGAUUUUAAGUGAUUUUGAAAAACUUUCCCAUUUUUUUCCACUCAAAAAUUUUUUCCCCACUCAAAUUCUCUCACUCAAGAAUUGUUUUGAAUUUUAUUUUUAAAUUUCAUCAUCAAAAUUUUGUAAUUGCAUAUUUUGUUUUUUUAGUUUUAACAAUGCUCUUUCUUUCCACUAUUUUUUUUUUUUUUUUGUGAAAUUUUAUCCAAAUGAAUCUAUAUUUAAAAUUAUAAUCAUAUUUAUCAAAAAAUUUACAAGGAUUAUCUUUAAUUCUUUUAAUAUAUUUAUACUCAUUUAUUUAAAAAAUGAUAAACUAACUUUUUUUUUUUGUAAACAUAUUCUAUUACCUUUCAAGUAAAAAAUUAGGUAAGUUUGAAAGUCAAUAAAAAAAAAUUAAAUACCACUUUCAAUAAUUUUCAAAUAAAAUUUUAUACAAUAUAUUUUAUUUGAAAUUUAAUUUCUAAAGUUUCACUAAAAAAUUUUGUUGACAAUUUUCUUAUUGUGAAUCAAAAUACUUUGCAUUAGUCUAUCUAGAUAAGAAAAAUUAUUAAUAUAAUAUUAUAACUUCAUAUCUUAGUUAUUUUUUUCAAUAAAUUUAUCUUUUUAAAAUUUUUAAAAUAAAACAUUAAAAAUUAAAAUGCUAAAAGGAUAUAUAUGUAAUAAAGUGAAGUGAUAUUCAAUUUUUAAAAUUUUUAAAAUAUGGUUAAUGUAGAAAAUAUAAAAAAUAAUUAAAAAUAAGAGAAAAAUAUAAAUGAAAGGAUAAUAUAAAUUUAAAAUAAAAAAUGAAAAUUAAAAUAUAAGAUAAAUACAAAAAGAUAAAAAAUAUUUGGAUGAAAAAUCCUAAAAUUUUUAUCAUUGCUUAUAAUAAGAGCAAAAAGAUUCAAUAUCUUUAAAAAUGAAAAACAAAAAAAUAUUAUUGCUUUUUAUUUGACAUAAAAUAGAAAUAUAGAUUGGAAGAAAAAAAAAAGUUAGAAAUGAGUAAUACUUAGUAGGGAAUAGAAAAGAAAAAAAAACACAAAAAAAUUGAAAUUCACACUCACUUGUGCUAUGUAAGGGUUAAGGGUAUUUUAGGGAUUAAUGAAGGACAAUAUCCUUCAUCUUAAUUUUCAUAUUUUGUUUGAGUUUUGGGCUUAAAUAUGCAUAAUAUAUGGAGCAAAUGUUAAUUUUGAGCCCAGUUGGGCCCAAAACACAAUACUCCCAUUGAAGAAUGGGAUCAGACAGCUGGACUAUAGCCAUUCAUUCGUGCCUGGUUUUACUACUUCCCUAUGUUUCUCUUGCUCCUUUUAGAGUCCCCACUUCUAUGCAUUUCUCACAUUUAUUAACGGGAUAAUUGUGUUUUCAAUCCAGUUAGGUUGGAUAAUUAAGACAAGGUCCUCCUAUCACUCAUAAUUAAACCCAAAACCCAAUGAAAGAGUAGAAAUUGAGAUGAAGGAUAUUGUCUUUAAAAAAAAUCCCUAAAAUACCCUUAACUAUUAAAUGAAAAAAACUAACCAAUCACCUCACCUUUCUUAUUCUCUCUUUGACUAUUUUACCCUUCUCUCAACUAUUUAAUAAUGGAACCAAGUUGAAUCAUUUUUCUUCGUCAAAUUGAAUAUGAAAUAUGGUUAAAAAUUAUUAUUGUCAAAUGCAUUUUUGAAAUGAAUAACUUUUAAAUACCUUAUCAAAUAUUAUUCUUUUUUCCAACUUACAAAAUAUAUAAUAAAUAUUUUUUAAAUAUGUUGAAAACUUACAUAAUAUAUAAUAAAUAUUAUUCUUUAUUUCAAACUUAUAUUAUUUCUCAUAUAUAUUAAAUAAUUUUAUACACCUCAUAAAAUAUUAGUAUUAUUUGUUUGUUCUAACUUGUAAAUUAUAUAUCAUCAAAUAUUAUUUUUUUCAAAUUUAUAGAAUAUAUAAUAAAUACUUUUUAAAUACCUCAUAAAAUAUUAUUAAUUUUUUUUUCUAACUUGCAAAUUAGACACAUGAUGUUUAUUAUUUCUCAUAUUAUUUCGAAAAUAAUGUAAACACACAUGCAUAUAUAUAUAUAUAUAUAUAUAUAUAUAUAUUAAUCAAGAAGACAAUAUUUAUAAGACUAAUUUACCAACUUUCCAAUAAUUUUGAAAGUGUAAAUAGGGUAAUUGGCCAAAUUAAAGUCUUCAAAAUAUUCAAAUUUUCUCAAUUCCAAAAUUAUCUAAUUAUUCCUCACACUAAUCCUAAAUAUUUUUAAUAAAUAUUUAAAUAUUUAAAACCAUUAAAAUAAAUAUUUUCUUAUUAAAGCAAAUUUUUUCAAAGUAAUAAGAUAAAAAUCAUGAAAUCUUCAAAACUAUAAUUACAACAAAUAUUUUAAAUUUUAAAACUAAUUUCCUAAUUUAAAUUAAUAAUUUUUAAAAAUAAAAAUUUAUAAAAAUAAUUUUUUUAUUUUUAAUUCUAUUUAAAUAUGAUGUUUUUAAUCUCUAUUGAUAACAAUGAAAUUAUGUUUAUAAAAGCAAAAUAGUAAAAAUAUAUAUUUCAUUUAGUUUACUUAUAAUAAACAAUUCAAACAUGAUUGAUUUUAAUUUUAUUUCCUAUGUGUUAAUUUUUGUAGGAAAUGUCUUUACGACAUAGUUUGGUAAAAAAAAGAAAAAAAAACUGUCAAUAAUCGUCUUAAUGUCAAACUCAAGUUGUUUAAAAAUCGUACAAAACUUAUUAGUAGGAGCUUUGUACAUUCUUGUAUACUUGAUACAUUUUCCUUGUACAGUUAGUGUAAUACCUUUGUACAAUAACACAAAUUUCAUAUCUAUCCUAAAUUAUAUGUCCAUGUAGGUGUAUUAAUCAUAUUUUCAAUGGUUUGGUUGAGAACUAGGGUCAAUUUUUUUUCCCCAAAUAUCAUUAUUGGAAUUUUCAUGUGAUAGUUAAAUAAAGUGCAUGACAUAGGUGUACAAUCCUUUGAUGACAAGGAAAAUUAAAAAAGUGGUUUAGAAUCGAUUGAAAUCAUUCACAAAGGAUAAUCUUGUACACCUUUGUACAAUUAGCACAUUUUCCUUGUACAUUUAGUAUAAUACUCUUGUACAAUGACAUAAAUUUCAUAUUCCUUCUAAGUUAUGUGUUCACGUAAGAGUGUUUAACCAUAUUUCCAAUGGUUUAGUUGAGAAGAUGGUGGAUGACUUAAGGUCAAAUUUUUUUUCCCAUAUAUCAUUAUUGUGGAAAGUAUUGGAAUUUUCAUGCGGGAAUUAAAUAAAGUGCAUGAAAUAUGUGUAUAAUUCGUGAGUGAUAAGAAAAAUAAAAGAAUGCCUCAUAAUCGAUUGUAAUAUUUCACAAAGGGUAGCCUUGUACACCUUUGUACACUUAGUAUAUUUCUCUUAUACAGUUAGUGUAAUAUAAUUGUAUAGUGGCGCAAUAAAUAAAUAAAUAGUUUUUUUUUUAUUUUCAUAUAAAAAAAAUAGUACUAAACAAGGUUUUCAAUUUUCAUUUUUAAAAAUAGUUUUCAUUUUUUUAAUUAAACAUAUUUUCAAAAAGAGACAAUAUAGAAAAUAAAAAUUAUUUUUAAAAAUAAAAACUAGAAAAAUAUUUUAAAACCAAACUCAAAUAUAAUCUAUAUAAUUUUUAACUGCUUGUUUUCAUUUAAAAUAAGUAAAUAUACCUUUCAACCCUUUUAUAUAAGAAAAAUUCAAUUUCUACUAUGUAUUGAUAUAAUCCACUUCUAAAAUUAAGUCAUAUGAAAACACUUUAAUUGAGUCCUUCAAAUAAAAACUCUUCAUCAAUCCUCUUUUUCUUUUUUUCUUUUUUAUAAUAAAUUUUCAAUUAAUUUAAAUCAUUAAAAAAAAUCCUUAGUAAACAAAUUUGUAACAUUUCAUAUAACUUAUUACUAAACGUCAUAUUCAAAAAGUUAUUAAAAUAAAGAAGGAAGAACAUUAAAAAAAAAAUUGAACUUUUUAUUUUAUAAUAGUAAAAAAAACUUUAAAAUACUUUUUAGUAUAAAAGAAAUUAAAAUAGUGAAUAUAUUUAUUUUAAACAGUGUUUUAAUCAUUAAAUUAUUUACUUCUAAAAUGUAGAAGAUAAAAAUAAAUGUAAAAGAUAAUUUUUAUUUAUUUAAAUUAAUAUUUUUUUAGAAAGUAUUUUCCAAAAUAGUCUUUGAAUCAUUAAUAUAAUUUUUUUUAUUUAUAAUUUAAAAAUAAAAAAUAAUGUUGAUUUUUCAAUUAUUUAUAAAAGAGUUUAAACAAAUAAUGAAAAAUCUAAAAAUGGUUAAAUAAGAAAGAAUAGUGGCACGUGAAGAGCGAUAGAAUAAAGACAAAACUAAGUCAAACGGAUAUUUUUGUCGAUUACUAUCUCAUAUCCUUGUAAUCAAUUAUGGGUGUUUGGAGGACUUUACCUCAAUUAUCAAGCCUAUGGGUUGAAAACAUAAUUUUUCCUUUAUUAAUUUCAGAAGUUAAAAGACAAUCAUUAAAGUCAUAAAAAUAAUAAAUAAAAAAAUAUCUUUAUUUUUUAUAUUAUAUAAUUAUGAAACAUUUUUAUUUUUUAUUUUUUAUUUUUACUAGAAGGAAAUUGAUACUAUAAUGUUUAAUAUUUAUAAAAUUUUAAAAAAUAAUUUAAAAGUUAUUUAUGUUUUCUAUUUUUAAAAAUAGUAAAAAAAAUUUAUCCAAAUAAUAUUUUAAUUAUUUAUUCUAUUUAAUUUUUUAAUUUAUAUUAAAUUAACUAAAUUUGGUCAAUUAUUAAUGUAUAUCUUAAUAAUAUGAGUCACUAUUAAACGGACGUAGGUCUAGUUAAUCCUAUGAUUUUUAUGUUGAUUAGAUCUACCAACACUAACAAGUCCUGGUAGGAAUAGAAAGUAACUGCAACCAACCACUCCGCAACUUUCACACCAUUGGUAACAUUAAUAUAUAAAUUUACCAAUGGUAAAUCUGAAAGACUAUGAAAUUUGGUUUUCAAAUCAAUUGAGAAUUAAAAAUAGAUAUUAUCUUGUUGAUAAGUUUCCUAAAAAAAGGGAAACAAAUCUCCAAUAAAAAAGAGAUAAUAGAUAAUAUUUUGUUUGUAAGAAGAAAAUUUGAUAAUAAAUUUAGAAUUAAGCAACUAAAUCAUGAAAAUUAAAAAUUCAAUUCCCUAUUUUUACCUAUUCCUUCAAGGACAAAACGAUUGUACAUGAGAAAAAAAUGUUUCAUAAAAAAGAAAAGGUUUCACAAAAUUUUUCUAUAAGUUCUAGAAAUUACAAAAGAACCAUAUGUGUGUUCUUCACCUUUUGACAAAGUUAUUUAGGAAUAAGUCACUUCAGAGUUUUAAUUGAUUUUCAAAAUAAAAAUAAUAAUUUCAUUGUCUUCUUUUAGAUUAUGAUCAAAGCGAAAAAAUAAGGGGAAAAGUAUUUUUUUUGUAAAAUACUUAUGAAAUUUGUGUGUGCAGUGGAUUCAAAAGAAUCCUUAAAUUUCAUUUUGUGCUAAUGUUUAUAAGUCCAUUUUUAACAUUAAAAAAAAUUAAAAUUUUAGUUUACAAUUGUAAUUUUAAAAGAAAAUUUGAAAAUAUUAAAUUACGAAUAGACAAUAGAGUAGUAGUUGAUUGAGGGUUUUUUUCUAAGGUAUUUUUUUUUAUUAAAAGGCAUGCUUUUUCACCAAAUAUUAAAGUUAUAUUUGAUUCACAAAAUAUUAAAGAAAGAAAAAAAUUAUUAAAAAAAUAGUUUUUAUAUUUAAUUUCAUUAUAAAAAUAUGUGAAACCAAGGUUUGGUUAAUCUUGAUUUUAAUGAUAACAAAACAAGGUUUAGAACUAAUGAUCAUAUUUCAAGUGUGAUUAGGCAAGACGACUUCCAAAGUGGCAAUCCAAAGACAAAUCAAGCCAAGGAGAAAUCAUGAAGAAGAAGACCACCUCAAAGAGAAGAGUUUUUCAAGACCAAAGGUUCUUAAGAUCUCUUUGUAAGGUUGUUAGUGCACUAGGACUUUCAUGCAUUUCAUUCUUUAUUUAUGCACCAAAAUCAUCCAAGAGUAAUAUUGUUUUAAAUAUCUUAAGAAUUGGAUGAUUUCAUGUUUUCAACUAAAACCUUGUGUUAAAUGAUUUUCAAACUUGUGUUAAAAGGUUUUAAGUUGAAAAAGGUUGAGUGUUGAGCCAAAAAAAUGGCUCAACCAGUUCAACCGGUCGACCGGUUGUGCUCGUCCGGUUGAGGACCGGUUGAGGGAAGCCAAAAAGUUUCACUCUCUCCCAGUGGCCUUCUCUUCUCGAUCAAGGUUGAACCUCAACCGGUUGAGGUCCGGUUGAGGCCCAACGGUCACUUUUCCUAACGGCUAGUUAACCGGUCGACCCCUAGCUCAACCGAUCGAACCCUCAACGGCUAGUUUGGCUUUUUUCUUCUAUAAAAAGGCUCCAAUCUUCAUUGUUUCAUAAGUUUAACCUUCCCAAAUCAUUCUUGAUUAUAUUUGAGCCUUGGAAGAGUGUUUUUUAGUGCACCAUUAUUUCAUAACUUGCAUAUCUUUAGUGCACCAUUCAAUCCUGGUUUUUCUUGUAUCUUUGAGCCUAAAGUUCUAUUACUAGGAUUUUUGUGAGAUCAAUCUUUGUAUAUCUUUGAGAGGAAUUUUCUCAAGUGAGGGGUAUCACUUGAGAGGUUGUUCAAGAGUGGGAUAACUCUUGAGAAGUGUAAAGGGUGCUUGGAGCCAAAAGUCCAAGAAGGUGAAUUGGAACCAUAAUCCAAUUGCAAAGAGAUUGGAAGCUUGGUUGAAGCUUCAAGAUAGUGGAACCCUCACUCGGUUAGGAGGUUGAGGAGAGUGGACGUAGGCAAGGAAGUGCUAAACCACUAUAAACUCUCGUGAUUGCACUCUCUCUUCCUUAACUCUUUUAAAUUAUAUGCAAUUGUCUUUAUUUUGUUUAUUAUAUACUUGCAUAUAAUUAACUCUUAUUUUUGCAUAGUUUAAAUUUGUGAAAAAGAGACCAUUACCCUAUUCNNNNNNNNNNNNNNNNNNNNNNNNNNNNNNNNNNNNNNNNNNNNNNNNNNNNNNNNNNNNNNNNNNNNNNNNNNNNNNNNNNNNNNNNNNNNNNNNNNNNUUUUUUUUUUUUUUAUAUACUGGCAUAAAAUUAAUUUUUUUUUUGGCAUAGUUAAAAUUGGGAAAAAGGAGCCCUUUCCCUUUUUCCCCCCCCCCCCCCCUAGGGUGAUUACCAUAAGUUGGAUUAGCCUCAAAUUCCUAACAAUUGGUAUCAGAGCAAGGCUUCUUGUUAAGACUUAACCGUCUAAGAAGUAAUGGCUAUUCCAUCAAGCUCAUCCAAAAUUGAAAGUUUUUCAACCACCCGACCUCCACUUUUCACGGGAACCAACUAUCCCUAUUGGAAAACUAAAAUGACUUGGUUUAUCUAAUCUACUAGUCUUGAUUUAUGGGAUGUCAUUGAAGAUGGUCCCCACAUUCCUUCAAAAUUAGAAAUUGGAGUGAUGGUUCCAAAACUUAAGCAUGAAUGGGAUGAACUUGAUAGAAAGAAAGUUCAAUUAAAUGCCAAAGCUAUUUUUAUCUUACAUUGUGCUAUUGAUAGAAAUGAAUUUAAUCGUAUUUGGCAUUGUAAGUCGGCUAAAGAAAUUUGGAAACUAUUAGAAGUCACUUAUGAGGGAAACGACCAAGUUAAAGAGUCUAAAAUCAAUAUCCUUAUGCAUGAUUAUGAAUUAUUUUCUAUAAAGGAGUUUGAAUCUAUUGUUGAGAUGUUUUCUAGGUUUCUUGUGAUUGUGAAUGAACUUGAAGCCUUGGGAAAGACCUACACUGAAGUAGAGAAAGUCAUGAAGAUCUUAAGGUCUCUACCAAAGAAAUGGGAAACAAAAGUGACGGCUAUUCAAGAAGCGAAGGAUCUCACCAAGCUCUCACUUGAAGAACUCAUUGGGUCACUCAUGACUUAUGAGAUAGAGUUGUACAAUCAUCAAAGAGUUGAAGAAAAUGAGAAAAGUAUAGCCUUUAUGGCUAUAACAAAUGAUGAUGAAGAGGAAGAGAGUGAAAGUGAAAGUGAAAGUGAUGAGGUAAACUCCAACUCUAACCAUUUUGAUUUUCAAGAUGAGCUUCAAAAAUUAUAUUUUAAUCUUGAAAAACUUGGUUCCAAAAAUAUCCCUCUCAAGAAAAAGAUUUCUUGUCUUCUAAAUGAGCUCAAUGAGGAUAAUGAAAAAUUUGAAAAUAUUGAGAAAACAAAAAUCCCUUUUGAAAAGGAAAAUGAGGGGCUAAAAAUUCUCAAAUGGCCAAAAGACUUUUGAUAUGAUUUUGGCAAAUCAAAAAUUGCAUUUUUGAUAAAAAGAGGUUAGCCUACAAGCCUUUCAAAAAUCAAUUUUUUUUUUAAAGGAAACCUCUAGUUUUUCGCCUUUAACUAUUUGCGAUUUUUGUGAAAGAAGAGGUCACUUUGGUGAUAUUUGAAAAUCCCUUCAUGUUCUUCAAAACUCUAAAUUAUUUUGGAUUCCAAAGGAAAGAAAGACUAACCCUCUAGGACCCAAAAAGAUAUGGGUACCAAAGGUUUCUUAAAAUUGUUUUGUAGGGAUCCAUGCAAAAAGGAGGAUAUGCUUACCAUGGAAAGAACGCGUUGACAAUAUUGGUAACGGUAUCGCUUCUAAAGCUAAAUUUGCAAUUGGUAUCAUUUUGCUAACACUUAGUAUAUAUUUUGAUAAUAUAACUUUUGGUAUCACUUUGAUAAAAUUGGCAUAUUUGUUAAACCAAGGUUUUGGAUUUAAAAAGAAGAUGUUUUAUAUACCUAUGUAAAAUUGAAUGAUCAUAUGCUUGUGUGCCCUAAAAGUUUUAUUUAAUUCAUGUUAAAUAUCUUUUUAAUGCAUAUGUUCUCCCAUAUAUUGUUUUCCAAAUCAUGCUUUAAAUGGGGAAUACUCUAAGGAUGAGCAACCUUUUAUUUGGAAACUAUUCUGAAAUGAAAAAGGGGGAGAUUCAUUUUUAUGAGAAAUUAUAUUUUUUGAUAACAUGUGAUUCCCCUUAUAUACUUUAUUGAAACUUUUUGUUGAUGACAAAAAGGGGGAGAAGUAAUGGUAGGUUGUUAACUUGGGAAGAUAUUUCAAAUAUUGUUUUAGCAAUCCUAUUCAUAUUGAUGCUAUGUGCUUUAUUGGUUAUAUUUGUAUGCAUCAAUUUUAAUAAUAAUGUCUCGCCAAAUUGCUAAAUGCUCUUAUGCUAUUUAUGUUUGAUUAUAUCAUUUUGAGCAUCCUUAAUAUACUCCUUGAAGUUUCUAAACUUGAAAAUUUUCUAAAUUCAAAGGAGCAUAUAUUGAGGGGGAGCUUUUUAACAACCUUGGUUUUGUCAUCAUAAAAAAUGGGGAGAUUGUGAAACCAAGGUUUGGUUAAUCUUAAUUUUGAUGAUAACAAAACAAGGUUUAGAACUAAUGAUCAUAUUUCAAGUGUGAUUAGGCAAGACGACUUCCAAAGUGGCAAUCCAAAGACAAAUCAAGCCAAAGAGAAAUCAUGAAGAAGAAGACCACCUCAAAGAGGAGAGUUUUUCAAGACCAAAGGUUCUUUAGAUCUCUUUGUAAGGUUGUUGGUGCACUAGGACUUUCAUGCAUUUCAUUCUUUAUUUAUGCACCAAAAUCAUCCAAGAGUAAUAUUGUUUUAAAUAUCUUAAGAAUUGGAUGAUUUCAUGUUUUCAACUAAAACCUUGUGUUAAAUGAUUUUCAAACUUGUGUUAAAAGGUUUUAAGUUGAAAAAGGUUUGAGUAUUGAGCCAAAAAAAUGGCUCAACCGGUUCAACCGGUCGACCGGUUGUGCUCGUACGAUCGAGAACCGAUUGAGGGAGGCCAAAAAGUUUCUCUCUCUCCCAGUGGCCUUCUCUUCCUGGUCAAGGUUGAACCUCAACCGGUUGAGGCCCAACGGUCACUUUUCCUAAUGGCUAGUCAACUGGUUGACCCUUAGCUCGACCGGUCGAACCCCCAAUGGCUAGUUUGACUUUUUUCUUCUAUAAAAAGGCUCCAAUCUUCAUUGUUUCAUAAGUUUAACCUUCCCAAAUCAUUCUUGAUUAUAUUUGAGCCUUGGAAGAGUGUUUUUGAGUGCACCAUUAUUUCAUAACUUGCAUAUCUUUAGUGCACCAUUCAAUCCUAGUUUUUCUUGUAUCUUUGAGCCUAAAGUUCUAUUACUAAGAUUUUUGUGAGAUCAAUCUUUGUAUAUCUUUGAGAGGAAUUUUCUCAAGUGAGGGGUAUCACUUGAGAGGUUGUUCAAGAGUGGGAUAAAUCUUGAGAAGUGUAAAGGGUGCUUGGAGCCAAAAGUCCAAGAUGGUGAAUUGGGACCAUAAUCCAAUUGUAAAGAGAUUGGAAGCUUGGUUGAAGCUUUAAGAUAGUGGAACCCUCACUCGGUUAAGAGGUUGAGGAGAGUGGACGUAGGCAAGAAAGUGCUGAACCACUAUAAACUCUCAUGUUUGCACUCUCUCUUCCUUAACUCUUUUAAAUUAUAUGCAAUUGUCUUUAUUCUGUUUAUUAUAUACUUGCAUAUAAUUGUCUCUUAUUUUUGCAUAGUUUAAAUUUGUGAAAAAGAGGCCAUCACCCUAUUCACCCCCCCCCCCCCUCUAGGGCGAUUAUCAUAAGUUGGAUUAGCCUCAAAUUCCUAACAAUUGGUAUCAGAGCAAGGCUUCUUGUUAAGACUUAACCGUCUAAGAAGUAAUGGCUAUUCCAUCAAGCUCAUCCAAAAUUGAAAGUUUCUCAACCACCCGACCUCCACUUUUCAUGGGAAUUGACUAUCCCUAUUGGAAAACUAAAAUGACUUGGUUUAUCCAAUCUACUAGUCUUGAUUUAUGGGAUGUCAUUGAAGAUGGUCCCCACAUUCCUUCAAAAUUAGAAAAUGGAGUGAUGGUUCCAAAACUUAAGCAUGAAUGGGAUGAACUUGAUAGAAAGAAAGUUCAAUUAAAUGCCAAAGCCGUUUUUAUCUUACAUUGUGCUAUUGAUAGAAAUGAAUUUAAUCAUAUUUGGCAUUAUAAGUCGGCUAAAGAGAUUUGGAAACUAUUAGAAGUCACUUAUGAGGGAAAUGACGAAGUUAAAGAGUCUAAAAUCAAUGUCCUUAUGCAUGAUUAUAAAUUAUUUUCUAUAAAGGAGUUUGAAUCUAUUGUUGAGAUGUUUUCUAGGUUUCUUGUGAUUGUGAAUGAACUUGAAACCUUGGAAAAGACCUACACCGAAGUUCAAGAGCUCUAUGAUGUGUGAGUUCGAUAUGAUUGAUUUGGGAAAGAUGAGGUAUUUUCUUGGAGUAGAAGUGUUGCAGAAGACUGAUGGAAUUUACAUCGGUUAAAAGAAAUAUGCCUUAGAUGUGUUGAAAAGAUUUGGGAUGGAGGAAACCAAUUCUAUCCAUAGUCCGAUUGUUACAAGUUUUAAAGUCUUCAAAGACAAAAAUGGAGUCAAGGUUGAUGCAACAUUCUUCAAGCAAAUGGUAGGGAGUCUCAUGUAUCUAACAGCAACUUGACUUGACUUGAUGUUUAUAGUGAGUUUAAUUAGUAGAUACAUGGGGCAACCAACUGAGCUUCACUUACAGACUGCAAAGAGGGUGUUAAGAUAUUUGAGAGGCACAACAAAUCUUGGGAUCUUCUACAAGAAGGGAGGGAAUGAUAAAUUGGUUGCCUUUACUGAUAGUGACUAUGCCGAUGAUUUGGAGGAUAGGAAAAGCACAUCGGGGUAUGUAUUCAUGUUGAGUUCUGGAGCUGUGUCUUGGUCCUCUAGAAAGCAGCCUGUUGUUUCACUCUCCACAACUGAAGUUGAAUUCAUAGCCGCAACAUCCUGUGCAUGUCAAGCUAUUUGGAUGAGGAGAAUCUUGGAGAAGCUCAGUCAUACACAAGGUAAUUGUACUACUAUGUUUUGUGACAAUAGUUCAACAAUUAAAUUAUCAAAGAAUCCAAUGAUGCAUGGACGAAGCAAACACAUAGAUGUUCACUUUCAUUUUCUGCGUGAUCUUACUAAAGAAGGAGUAGUGGAAUUAGUUCAUUGUGGUACACAAGAUCAGAUUGCAGACGUGAUGACUAAGCCUCUCAAGCUUGAUAUGUUUCUGAAGCUGAGAGAGUUGAUGGGUGUUCGUGAAGUUCCAGAUGUAAACUAAUUGCUGUUAGCAGUUAGUUUAAGAGAGAGUGUCAAGAUUUAAGUUUUUUUAUUGUUUAGUUUUUUUUUGUUUUAAUAAUCCCUAUUAAGCAGGGUAGUUUUUAGCUUUGACUUAUUCUCUACUCUUUACCACGUUAUUUGUUAGUGUAAAACGUGGGCUGUUUUUCUUAUCAAUUAGUUAUUGUAAGGCUAUUUUAUUAGCUAAGGUUGUUGAUCAAUAGAUGUGGAUUUUUCCCAGUUUUGUUCCAUUCAGUUUUGAUUCACAACAUUCUGGCAUCAGAGCUAGGUUCAAAGUAGCAGCUUUUGUAAUUUGCAGUAGCAAGAGAAAUAACAACUGAAGGGAAUUUUGUGCAACCUGCUAUUCCUCGAUUUGAUGGUCAUUACGAUCAUUGGAGCAUGUUGGUGGAAAUUUUUUUAAGAUCUAAGGAGUAUUGGAUUCUUGUGGAGACUAGUUAUGUUGAGCUAGAAAGCGGAGUAGUAUUGACAGAGGCGUAACAGAAGAAGCUUGAUGAGAUGAAGCUAAAAGACUUGAAGGUGAAAAAUUAUUUGUUUCAAGCUAUCGAUCGAACGAUUUUAGAAACCAUCCUAUAGAAGAACACAUCCAAACAGAUAUGGGAUUCCAUGAAGAAGAAGUAUAAGGGCAAUGAAAGGGUGAAACAAUCCAUUAUUCAAGCUCUUCGCAAAGAGUUUGAAACUCUUGAGAUGAAAUCUGGUGAAGGUGUCUUUGACUAUUUCUCAAGAGUGAUGUCUAUAGCCAAUAAGAUGAGAGUUCAUGGUGAACAAAUGAGAGAUGUUACAAUAGUUGGAAAAAUACUUCAAUCAUUGAGUGACAAAUUCAAUUAUAUUGUUUGUUCAAUUGAAGAGUCAAAGGACAUUAAUCUCCUAUCAAUUGAUGAACUGCAAAGUUCCUUAAUUGUUCAUGAGCAGAAGUUCCAUAGGCACAAAAGAAAAGAGCAAGCACUCAAGGUAAUUCAUGAAGAAAGUGUAGCAAGAAGAGGUCGUGGUCGCGGAUCCUCUCGAGGAAGAGGCAAAGGUAGAUGACGCCAAUCCUUCAAUAAAGAUACUGUAAAAUGCUACAAGAGUCACAAACUUGGACACUUUCAAUAUGAGUGCCCAAGUUGGGACAAAGAGGCUAAUUUUUCUGAGCUUGGAGAAGAAGAAGUGAUGUUGUUGAUGUCCUAUGUUGAGAUAAAUGAAGCAAAAAAUGAGGAUGUUUGGUUUUUAGAUUUUGGUUGCAGUAAUCAUAUGUGUGGAGAUAAAACUCUCUUCUACGACUUCAAUGAAAGCUUCAGGCAGAUGGUGAAGUUGGGAAACAACUCAAAAAUGACAGUGAUGGGUAAGGGUAAUGUAAGGCUGAAAGUGAAUGGAUUCAAUCAUGUAGUCACCGAGGUUUUUUAUGUGCCUGAGUUGAAGAACAAUUUAUUGAGCAUUGGGCAGCUGUAGGAGAAAGGUUUAGUGAUUCUUAUUCAACAUAACAAGUGUAAAAUCUAUCAUCCUGAGAAGGGCUUGAUCAUUCAAGCAGAGAUGUCUGCCAAUGGAAUGUUUAUUUUGUUGGCUGUGCCACAACCAAAGAAACCAGCUUGCUUUCACACAACUACAGAAGAAUUAUCACAUCUCUGGUAUUGCCGAUAUGGAAACUUGAGUCACAAAGGAUUGAGGACUCUUCAAAACAACAAGAUGGUGAAUGGACUACCACAAUUCGAAGCUUAAAAAACUGUAUGCACUGAUUGCAUGGUUGGAAUAGAGCAUAGAAAUCCAAUUCCAAAGAAGAGCACUUGGAGAGCUUUUUCGAAACUUCAGCUCAUUCAUGUUGACAUAUGUGGCCCUAUCACACCGAUCUCAAACAGAAAAAAGAGGUAUCUAAUUAGCUUCAUUGAUGAUUUUAGUCGAAAGACAUGGAUUUACUUCUUGGUUGAAAAAUCUGAAGCUUUAGUUAUCUUCAAACAAUAUAAAAGUUGUUGUAGACCCUCAAUUUUGUCCCUCGACACUGGCAUUUAUCCUUCUGGUGUCACAUCCACCCAUCGUUCACAUAUGACACCACUAGGGCCCCUUUUGGGCUUAGUCGGUGUCCGAGCCUCAUGUGGGUUUGUGUGUGGUCCAUUGUCGUGCAUAUGUGGUUCAUUUAGGAGGGUCACCAUGGCUAUUUUCCUAGUCGUUCACAUCACGCUAUAGGAAGGAAGUGGGGUCAUCCCGAUGUUUUAGCUUAGUUGGGGUUUAUAGGGGCAUGUUGAGGUUCGGAGCACUUGGGCUUGUUUUGAUCGUAUCUCCCUCAUCCAAACUCGGAAUCAAGAACCGUUUAUUUUUAUGGAUUCCUUAUUCUUCCAGGAACAUUCUGUAAAAUUUUCAAAAUUUUUUGCAACCGGUCGGCUGGUUGGCAGCCGGUUCAUCCGGUUCAGUCGGUUCAUUAGGUCAGCCGGUGUAGAACACUGAUUUUUGGUAAUUGUUUUGAUCAUAUCUUCCUCUUCGGAACUUGGAAUCAUGCACCAUUUUUUUUAAUGGAUUCCUUACUCUACUAGGAACAUUCUUUCAAAAUUUCAGAAUUUUUCUCCAUCGGGUCGACCAGUUGGCAUCCGGUUCGGCCGGUUCAGCCGGUUCAUUGAGUCAGCUGAGGUAAAACACUAAUUCUAGUAAUUUUGAGGCCCAAAUCCUACAUGGCUCAGGCCCAUAAGCUCCAGAUUGGUUUUGGAAAAUGUUUUGGGUCCAUUUUAGGCCUUGGUUUGGGUUCCUUGCAGCCUACCACGAAUCCAUAUGGAUUCUUGGUGGUGAAGCAAGCUGAAAAAACUGAAGGGAGUGAGCUGGCCUUGUAAGUCUAAGAGAAGUAAUGAGGGGUGUGGUUCCCAUGCUGAUGAAGGGAAUUUCGGUGCUGAAGGGGAAGGAACCCAAGAGGCUCAAAUGCUAAGAGGGGUAUGAGUAUAAAAGGUGAGAGGAUAGGAGAGCAAAGGACCUUGGACAUUUUGGAGAGGGGAAAUUCUGCUGGUGAGAAAAACAAAAGGUCAGUAGCAUCUUCUGAGUUGAGAGUGUGGGGGAAGCUUCAGCACUGUGGUUUUUUUGAAGAGGAGAGUGACAGCCUCUCAGUUUUGGAAGUCAUCAUUGGCAUGCACGGAUCAUAUUUGGUGGAGAUUCUAAGGUAAGCAUGCUGAAUUUUCUUUACUUACAACUUAUCUUCCUCGUCUUCAUAUGCUUUUUCUCCUUCCUCAUCAUCUUUUCUUCCCUUUGAUAUGAAGAUUGUAUUGCUUGGAUGUGGACAAUAAAGGCCACACAUGAUUGUUGUUGUUUUCUUCCUUAAUCACUUAGGAAUUUCCUGACCGAAUUUGGGAUUUUUUACCAACCGGCUGAACCGGUUUGGAACCGGUUCAACCGGUUCAGCACCAUAGCUGGCAGCCUCUAUCAGCCAUGAGGAACACUUUCCUUUCUUUGUCUGGUUCUCACUCAUCCGGGGUCGGAAUUGAAAACCGUUUCUUUUUUUUGCUUCCUUAAUCACUUAGGAACUUGCUGACCAAAUUUGGGAUUUUUUACCAACCGGAUGAACCAGUUUGGAACCGGUUGAACCGGUUCAGCACCAUGGCUGGCGGCCUCUGUCAGCCAUGAGGAACACUUUCCUUUCUUUGUCUGGUUCUCACUCAUCCGGGGUUGGAAUUGAGAACCGUUUCUUUUUUUUGCUUCCUUAAUCACUUAGGAAUUUUCUGACCAAAUUUGGGAUUUUUUACCAACCGUCUGAACCGGUUUGGAACCGGUUCAACCGGUUCAGCACCAUAGCUGGCAGCCUCUGUCAGCCAUGAGGAACACUUUCCUUUAUUUGUCUGGUUCUCACUCAUCCGGGCUCGGAAUUGAGAACCGUUUCUUUUUUUUGCUUCCUUAAUCACUUAGGAACUUUCUGACCGAAUUUGGGAUUUUUUACCAGCCGGAUGAACCAGUUUGGAACCGGUACAACCGGUUCAGCACCAUAGCUGGCAGCCUCUGUCAGCCAUGAGGAACACUUUCCUUUCUUUGUCUGGUUCUCACUCAUCCGGGGUUGGAAUUGAGAACCGUUUCUUUUGUUUGCUUCCUUAAUCACUUAGGAACUUCCUGACCAAAUUUGGGAUUUUUUACCAACCGGAUGAACCGGUUUGGAACCGGUUCAACCGGUUCAGCACCAUAGCUGGCAGCCUCUGUCAGCCAUGAGGAACACUUGCCUUUCUUUGUCUGGUUCUCACUCAUCCGGGCUCGGAAUUGAGAACCGUUUCUUUUGUUUGCUUCCUUAAUCACUUAGGAACUUUCUGACUGAAUUUGGGAUUUUUAUCAACCGGAUGUACUGGUUGGGAACCGGUUCAAUCGGUUCAGCACCAUAGCUGGCUGCCUCUUUCAGCCAUAAGGAACACCUGCCUUUCUUUGUCUGGUUCUCACUCAUCCGGACUCGGGGUUGAGUGUCGUUUCUUUUGUUUGAAUCCUCACUCAUUUAGGAGUUUUCUAGAAAAAUUUUGGAAUUCUUCUCAAUAGGUUGUACCAGUUGAGAACUAGUUAAACCUGUUCUGCUGGAGGACUUUAGGUAGCCCUCGAUUUUGGCAUUUUUCGAGCCCUUAUCCAUGGGGGCUCAAACCCAUUUGCUAUAGGGCACUUGAGAGCCAUCUUGAAGGUUUAAGUCAGUAUUUGAUUUCAGUUAGUAUGGGCAAUUUUGAAGUUAUGGGUGGUGUGGUCUAGAUGAGUCUAGUUCGAUUUGUAUGACAUUUGGGGAGUCCCUUACCUCAUUUCAACCAGCUAUCUUCCUUUUUGGCACAAGCUUUGAUGCUUGAUUUUGAAUACAUUGUUGCGUGACUGACUCACCCUCUGCUGCAGCGCUUGGCUAGGGACCACAGGUACGCAUCGUUGGCUUUGGUUGUUGAAUUCAUAUGCAUGCAUGGUGCUUAAUCUUGAAUGUUUGUUAUGUGUUUAUCUGUGUUUGGCUGACCUUUUAUGCAGCGCUUGGCUAAGGACCACAGGUAUGCACCCAUCGUUUUGUUUGGUUGAAUUCAUAUGCAUGCCAAAUACCAAUUAGGAUUGUGUGAUUCAUGACAUCUAUUUAGCCUAGGGUUUCAUUUGACCUUUGACCCAUAUGCUCCCACAUACCCAAUUCAUUAGUAAAGACCGAGUUUCGGACCUAGAGGGGUGCUACCUCGCAUGAGGUACCUUCUCAACAGGUAACCUGAUCCCCGGACCCAGAAUCUAGUUUUCGUAGACCGCUUUUUCCAUACUGGGGUCAUUAGGGGUUUUUGUUCUUACUUAAUUUUCCCCAUUUUAAAAACAAAAAUAAAAAGUAAGUGGCGACUCCAAACAACACCGUUCCUCACCAAGGACGGAUUUUUCAAAACUGGAAAACACCAACUUUUUCAUUUCUUUCUUUUCUUUUAAAAGCGAGUCGCAUCGGUCCGGUGGAUCGGGUGAGGGUCCACAGUUGUGUUGAGAAAUAAACAGGUUCCUAUAUUAAGUGUUUGCGUACUGAUCGAGGGGGUGAGUUCACUUCACAAGACUUUAAUGAAUUUUGUAAAGAAAAUGGCAUCAAGAGGCAGUUGACAGCGGCUUACACCCCGCAACAGAACGAAGUUGUAGAGAGGAAGAAUCGAACCAUCAUGAACAUGGUUCAAAGUAUGCUUUUAGAGAAGAAGCUUCCAAAGAAUUUUUGGCCAGAAGCUGUGAAUUGGACAGUGCAUAUUCUAAACCGAAGUCCUACUCUAGCAGUGAAGAACAUGACUCCGGAGGAAGCUUGAAGUGGAGUCAAGCCUUCGGUUGAACAUUUUCGAGUGUUUGGUUGUAUCUCACAUGUUCAUGUACCUGAUAUCAAGGGAACCAAGUUGGAAGAUAAAAGUUUUACUUGUGUGUUGAUGGGAGUUAGUAAAGAGUCUAAAGCUUAUAGGCUUUAUGAUCCAAUAGCCAAGAAGAUUGUAAUCAACAGGGAUGUAGUUUUCGAAGAGGACAAGUCUUGGGAUUGGGAUAAGAGCUAUAAAGAACAGGUGGUAGCUAUGUUGGAAUGGGGAGACAAUGAAAAGAAUGUUGCUGCAAAUAAUGAAGGUGAGGCCAAGAGUGAAGAUGGAAGUAGUGCAGAAGAGGUUGGGGUUGUUUCUCCAAAUUUGGUAGAUGAAGAGAGUUCACCUAGGUCCAAUGAAGGGAGAGUUAGAAGGCCACCAGUUUGGAUGAGAGAUUAUGAAAUGGGUGAGGGUUUGUCUGAAGAAGAAGAUGAGACUAAUCUAGCAUUGUUUGCAUCCGGAGAUCCCUUUUAUUUUGAAAAAGCUGUGAAAAGUGCAAAGUGGAGAGCUGCUAUGGAUUCUGAAAUAAAAUCCAUAGAAAAGAAUGAUACUUGGGUGCUAAUCGACUUACCUGUAGGUGCAAAGAAGAUUGGUGUCAAGUGGAUUUACAAAACAAAGCUUAAUGAGCAUGGAGAGGUAGACAAGUACAAGGCACGCCUUGUAGCAGAAGGCUAUACGACGAACACAAAGGGAGUUGAUGGACACGGCCAACCCUCCAAUCUGCCAACAAUCUCCUCCCCCCCACCCUCCUCCCUCUCCCCAGCGACACCCAUGGGGUUCGAACCCGUGACCUUAGCUCUGAUACCACUUGUAGGACCUCAGGUGCUACCAACUCUCCUAAAAGCAAUUGCUGUUAGGAAAGGAGCAUACCCUAACCUUAUAGUGCAUUCACCCAACACAAGGGGAGUUGAUGGACAUGGCCAACCCUCUGAUCUGCCAACAAGUUGAUGGACACGGCCAACCCUCCUAUUUACCAACACUCUGGACCAUUCCGGAAUAAUCAACCUUGUAGAAUUGCAAAUUAAUGAGCUUGACCUCAUCUGUUUUGUACCUGAUCCUCUCGGGCUUGGCAUGGGUUUUCUUCUCGCACUUCUUAGAUCUUUCAGGUACCACAAGUCUCCAUGAAAACUGGCACAGGUUUAGGCACAUCAACAUAUCUAUGCUGCUUAGCCUCAUCAAAGUCCGACAUCCCGAUUGUCUCUUCCUCACUUUCAAUCAAACCAUAUCCCUGUACCAUUUAGGAUUUCUGGGGUUGUACCUCAUCACAUGCCUGUACAACAUAUACCCAACUUCGGCCAUGCUGAGAGGCAUUCCCGGGCGCCCAACCUUGGUGGUUUACAUGGCGUCCACGAUCAGCAUCCUAACAUUAUCCACGCAUUGCAUGUCAACCUAUUCUUGGAAGAAUUCGUUGUCUUCUUCAUCAUCUGCGUCCAAGUCUUGGUUGGAUAGCUGGGGUUGGAAUGAGAUAUGGGUUUAAUAGUGGUGAUAAUGGGUAUUGAAAGAUGAGAUGGUGAAUGAGUUAAUGAGAGAAAGAGGGGUUCGGUGGUGGUGGGUAUGAGGAUAUAGAGAGGGAUGAGGGUGGUGUUGAGUCGGGUAUGACAUGGGAUCUUAAUGGAGGCUUUGAGAGGGAAUUCAGGUGGAGGAUAGCGGGUAUGGUGGGGUGCGAAGGAUACGUGUGCAUGGUUCCCAUUCAUGUGGGUAGGAGAGUGUAGAGAGAGAAUGGGUUUAGUGGCACAGCUAGGAGGGUAGCGAACAUGUUGGGGUAGGAAUGAAAGAUGGGAGAUGGGUACAUGGGUAUGAAUAAUGAGAGAUAUGAGAGUUGAGAGGAUCGACAGGGUGGUGAGUAAGUCGGGUCUCAAGAAUGGGUUUAAUGGUGUUGAUAAAUGGAGAAAUGAAAGUAGCCGUGGUGAUGAUCUGGAUGACGAAGCUGACAGCUCCCUUUAUUUUACCUUUUCUUCAUCUGUCACUUUCACCACUUCAUUAUCCUUCUCAGCAACAGACUUGCUCCCUCUGUCCCAGCCACCCGUUCUUUCCCACCAGCUUUCUUUUUGCUCAGCUAUGUCUCCUUUGUCCUAAACAGCUAUCUCUGAUUUUUGGCUCUAUUGUGCGUUCUGAAGAAGAAGAAAAGAAGAAGAAGAAAAUAAUAAAAUAAAAAGAAAAUGACCCCAGCUGAGGGGGUCUACAACUAGAAAGUUACAAUUUAUUUGUGGAUGAUAUGUUUGUUUAUUCUUCGUAUUCCUCUUUGUCAUUUAUUUGUGCCCUUUUAUUAUAUUUAUAAUACUAUUGUUUAGAAACUUUUCAGUUUACUAAUAUUUCUGCAUUUACAUCUGUAUUGCUUGUGUAUAAAUUAUUUUUAUAUACUCUUUUAAAUUCAUUUCACUGAUUUUAACUCUUUAAUAUAAAAAUUAAAUAAUUUAAAAAUAUAUAAAUUUUUAUACUGAUUUUAAUUAUAUUUUUUUAUUAUUGAUACCAAAAUAAUUUGAGAACUAAAUAUAACCUAAGUUUUGAUGUUUACAUUAUCUCCACAAUUCAAAAGGGAGUCGAUUAUUGAAGUAGGAGGCUUUAGUAGCUUUUUUUUUUUUAUCAUUAGCUAGUUCACCACAGGCACUUCUUGAAAUUAGUUUGCUUUUAGUUAUAUCCCCUUUUUUUUUUCAAUAUAUAUCCUAUAUACUUAAAAGCUAAAUUUUGUUUUGAUCAUUAUAUGUAUUUGUAGGAGCACUUUCAAGAGUGCCAUAUGCAUUGUUGUUUUGCUCGACAUAAAAGUGACGUUCCUACCAGCAAUUGAUAAGUCUAAUCACAAGCUUGUUGCCAAAGCCAUGUAUGAAGUGCGUUACAUAGAUUUGGAUGACCAUUGAAAAGUGACGAGAGUGUCUUAUUAUAUGAUCCAACACCUAGUUCAAAGAGAAGUCCAACUCCAUACUUUGGCCAUAUGAGAUGCAGGGGAGGCAGAAACUACCAUUGUAGGGGUAUUUUUUUAGGUAAAACUGGUACUGGUGCAAUGAAAAUUCUUAUACUAACUAUAUACCAUAUGCCAUUGAGUUAAGAUUCAGAUGCAAUUUAGAGGGCUUUAUUGAAGUUCGUUGAAGAAAGAUAAGUUCAAUUUUCUAUUGAUGAAAGAUCCAACUAUCGAGUGCCACUCGAGAAUUGGAGAAGUUGGAGGGUUGUUCCAAGUUGUAGCUAUUGGAAGUCGAAAGCGGAAAAAGUUUAUUUAGGAGGGGUAGAGGCUUUUGAAGAACAGAUGAAUAUGGUAUAUUCUAUUAAUGGAGGAUUAUUUUCUAAGCCUCGUAUCCUUUGUGGACUCCUUUGGGUGGUGAUAUGAUAUUUUUUAUUCUUAGAAAAUUUGAAAAAAGAUGCAAGGAAAAUAAAAUAGAGGAAAAGAAGAAGGAAAGAAAAUGUGAAAAAAAAAUAGAAAAUAGAUUUAGAUUUAAUAAAUUAUUUUUAUAUACUAAUUUAAACUCAUUUCACAUACUUUUCCUCUUCUAAACAUUUUUUUCUUAAUAUAUUUGAUUUUCUUACAUUUUUUUUAUGUAGAAAUCAAACAAAAGAAAAUCAUUUUUCUUAACAUUUUUUUCUUUUUUCUUAAUACUUUCUAGGAACCAAACAUACCUUGGCGUUCUUCUUCGAAGGUGAGUUUGUAUUUUCUUUCCUAUCAAUUAGUUCUAUGUUUUCGUACUAUCUCCAUGUCAAUUGAUAUCAAUGCUCUGGGGUGCCAUGGCUGGUUGUAGUGUGCAACAUGUUGAAGAACAUCUUUCUUGAGAAUGAGAUCUCAUGAAGAAUAUUCAACAGUUGAAGAAAUCAAGUGCUUGAGGAGUUAAGAAACCAAGUGUAGCAACUGCAACAACAUUUAGAAUAGUUUAACCUUUUCAACACCAGAUUUCAGGUGAAGAAAGUUCUAAGAAUGAAGAAGAAAAUAUUAACACCCCUUCUAUCAAACCCAAAACCCCCAAAUAAGAGGUGGUUCCUCUCCAACUUGCGUUGGAAGGAAUCACCACUUACAACAGGACUUUGUAGUCAAAGUAAAUAUCCUAGAGUUCGAAAGAAGAAUGUAACUAGAUCAUCAGUUUUUGGAUUGGCCUGGCUUCACUAUGUUGAACAUGUAUUUGACUACAAGGUGGUGGCAAAUGAUCGCAAGGUAAAACUAAUUGCUAUGAAAUUAAAAAAAUAUGCCUUAUUGUGAAGGAAAAAUCUUAAAAGCCAAAUGAUUGAGAAAGAAAAAUAAGGAUUGUUACUAGGAAAAAAAAAAUAGAACUUUAAAGAAAAUGUUUGCCAUGAGAAGUUUCAUAACCUCAAACAAUAGUGAAAGAUUAUAUAAUAGAGUUUGAUCAUCUUAUAGUAAAAUGUGAUCUUGUUGUACAAGAAGAGGACACUAUAGCUCGUUAUCUUAGGGGGUUAAGACCGGAAGUUGGCAACAUGGUGCAACUAUAACCUUAUUGGACUUAUGAUGUUUGUAGAUUUUCCCUUAAGAGUAGAAAAACAACAAAAGGAAGAAUGUAGGAAAAAUUGGUGAUUCUUAGUGCAAGAUAAUUCUUCUAACAAAGAGAAUGCUUCCAUUUCUAAAACUAGCUCAAUUGCAAAGUCCAUUCCUUGAAUCUUAUCAAAAGAUAAUAGUAAGGUUGGUUUUAAACAACAACCAUACUUCUCCGAUACCAAUUCUUAUCAAUGCUUCAAGUAUCAAGGGUACAAGCAUAUUGCUUCUAAACGCUCCAGUUGUAAAAUUAUCAUACUAAUUGAGGAAGAAAGUGAUAAAGAGAGUGAAGGAGAUGUUUAAGGUAACUUUGGAACCCCAACAACAAAAGAAGUCAUACAUGCGGAUCAAAGAGAAUAUCUUGUAGUUCAAAGAAGUUGAAGGAGUUGUUUAUUUCUUUUACUUAAAUCUAAAUAGAACUUAAUUUAACUUAAUUUUAAAUGCAACUUAAUAGUAUUAAGUAUUGAGUUAUUUGUUUUUUCACAAUGAGAGUAGGGUAAGAGGGUUAGAAGUGUGAAUCAACUAACUUUUUAGAUUAACAAAAUAGCCAUAUAUUUUAGCUUUUUAUAUUCAAUUAAAAAUAAUGGUAAAAAUACUAGAAGUUAAAAAAAGAAAACUAAAAAAAGAAACAACUAGUCUGAAAGUAAAUUGCAUUCAACAUUAAGUUAAAAAAAAAAAAUACCAUCUAAGUGUUCUCCAAGAAGAAGAGACAAAUUGGCUAUGAAAAAAAUAUUUUUUUACACUAAGUGCACUUCCAAGGACAAGGUCUGUAAUGUCCUCAUUGAUAGAGGCAACUUUGAGAAUUUGCUGUCUAUUGAAAUGAUGGAGAAUUAGGCCAUAAAAUGGAAAUGACUGAAAGAAAAAAAAAAUGAAGUAGCUAAAAGAAAGAAACAUGUUCUUCAAGAAAUGGCCUGUGUAAUGAUCCACACUCAUGACACUCCUACUUACUUUUGGGCUGAGCCAUUGGCAUUGCUUGUUACAGUGCCAAUAGUCUUUCAUAUGAAUUAUGGUAAGGAAAAAAGCCUAAUUUGAAAUAUUUCAAGAUCUUUGGCAGUAGAUGUUAUAUUCUCAAGGACGUGAAAAAACUAGGAAAGUUUGAUUCUAAAUUUGAUUUAGGUAUUUUCCUAGGUUAUUCUACCAUAAGUAAAGGCUAUAAGGUUUAUAAUUUGAAUACCAAAAUUAUCUAGAAAUCAUAUAAUGUGGUUAUUGAUGACUAUGGGUCCAUUUGAGAAAAAAAUUAUUCAUAUAUAUUGCCUUAGGGUUCUACUAGAGAUGUCCUUGAAGUCAUCCAUGAGCUAAUGGAUGAGAGUAAAGAUAUUCCUAAGACCAUCCCUGAAAAGGUGAUUGAUCCCAAAAGUGACAUGAAGGUAGAUGAAGAUAUAGGAAAUAGUGAAGUGGGAAAUAGGAAUAAAUCCAAGGUACCUAAAAAUCACCUUAUCUUUAGUGUCAUUGAAACCAAGAAAGGUUCCAUGGUAAUAAGGAGACAAUCAAGACUUAAGAGAUAGGUUUCAUUUGCUACACCUCUGAAUUAGAACCUAAGAACAUUGAGGAAGCUCUCAAAUAUGAACUUAGGCUAUCAUACUAUAGGAAGAGCUAAACUUGUUUGUUAGGAAUGAAGUGUGGUAUUUAGUGUCUAGGCCUAAAGACAAAGAUGUGAUAGGUACCAAAUGAAUUUUCAAGAACAAGCAAAAUGAAAAUGGGAUAAUAGUGAGGAACAAGACUAGACUAGUGGCAUAAGGAUAUUCCCAAAUUAAGGGAAUUGAUUAUGAGCAAACCUUUACUCUUGUAGCUAGGUUAGAGGCCAUUAGAAUUUUCUUAGUUAUAGCAUGCUCAUUAAGGAGAAAGUUAUACCAAAUGUAUGUAUUGCCUUUUUGAAUUAAAUCCUUAGGGAAGAAGUAUACAUAGAGCAACCCAAGGGCUUUAAAGAUCCUAAAUUUCUCAAUGAUGUGUAUAGACUAAUGAAAACCCUCCAUCGACUUAAGCGAGCUCUUAGAGCUUAGAAUAAGAGACUUACUACUUACCUCUUGAAAUAUGGUUUCGAGAGAGAGGAGUUUAUAGGACUUUAUUUGUCCAUAAGACUAAUACUAGACUCUUAGUGGCACAAUUUAUGUUGAUGAUAUUGUUUUAGAGCCACUUUAAAUAAACAUGCCCUUGGUUUUACUGAGGAGAUGAAAAAGGAAUUUGAAAUGAGCAUGAUAGGUGAACUCAAUUUUUUCGUUGGCUUGCCAAUUAGGUAACUUAAGAGUGAUUCUUUCUUUCUUACUCUAAAUAUGCAAGGGAGUUAUUGAAAAAGUUUGGUCUUGAGUCGGCUAAGCACUUUAGGACACUUAUGAGCACUAUCAUAAAGCUUUACAAGGAUAAAUCUAAUAAAUAUGUUGAGCAAAAGCUUUGUAGGAGUAUGAUAUGAAGUCUUUUGUACCUCACUGCAAGUCAUCCUAAUAUUUCCUUUAGUGUGGGGGUGUGUGCUAGAAACCGGGUUAAUCCUAAAGAGUUAUAUUUAAAAUUAGUAAAAAGAAUAAUCAAAUAUGUGAAUGAGACUUUAGAUUAUAGCUUGUGGUAUCCUUUUGAAUUUACACUUGUUAUCAUCGAUUAUUUCGUUGCUGACUAGGCCAAAAAUGUAGAGGAUAGAAGAAGUACUUUAGGUGCUUGUUUCUUUGUUAGCGACUAUUUAGUUGCAUGGCUUAAUAAAAAACAAAACUUGGUAUCUUUCUCCAUUAUGGAAGCAAAGUAUAUUGUAGUAGGAAGUUGUUAUACCCAUCUUAUUUGGAUGAAGAAAAUGUUCAAUGACUACGACAUUGAGCAAGACACCAUGAAUGUCAUGUGUGACAACAUGACUGCUAUAAACAUCUCUAAGAAUCUUUUCUUUCAUUCUUAAAAUAAAUAUAUUGAAAUUCAACAUCAUUUUAUUAGGGAUUUUAUAGAAGACAAGAUAAUUUCCUUAGAGUUUAUACCCAUUGAGCAUUAAUUGGUUGAUAUCUUUACAAAGCCCUUAGAUUAUCUUAGGUUUGAGUUUCUAAGGAAAUCUUUGGGCAUCUGCUUCAUUGAUUAAGAGCCUGAGAUGUGGGCCUAAGUGAUUCAUGCCCAGUCGGGUCUUUUAAUCAAAAACAUUUAUAAAACCUAUGACCUCAUACUAGCGUAGCAAAGCUACUAUAGCAUAGUGGCUCUAGGGUCGAACUCUGGGAUGAGUUUUAACUUCGCAAUUGAUAUUAGUUCAAAAAUUGAAUUGGUGCUUUUUCUUUUCAAGGUUAGCUUUAAAAGAAGACAUAAGUUUGAAUGAAAACGGAUGGUAUUAAGCUAACCUAACAUAAAGUAACUAAAAUUAACUAGAAAGAAAUUAGAAAGAAGGGUGUUUCUUGGGAUUUCAGGUUACUAGGAUCAAGUGCCAACUGCAAAGUGGGAAAUUCCGGAUUUUUCUCCUCGCAUUGGGGAUUUAACCUAUAGUUAUUUCCUGAACCAGUAUAGGUUUAACAAUGAAGAUUUAAUCCAUAAAAAGUCAAUAGAAAUGGUAGUCAAGUUCCAUUAAUGGCUUUAGACACUAUGGGUCUUCACCUUGAACCACUUUCCAAUGGCUCGUACAUGAUAACUAAUGGAUUGAUAUGGAUCUAGCAAUAAGCAUCCACAGAGACCUGAAGCUUACCAUGUAUUGGCCAUUCAAAGUGAUUCUAAGGGAUUUAAAGCAAAACUUUAGAUUUUAAAAGCCAUUUAUAAACUCCAACUACCUGUAUUUAAAGCACGGGAGUUUUCCACUUUUGCAUCUGGACUUUUCACCUAGCUUCCUUCACCCAAGAAACAAAAAGCCUAGCCACUCAUCCUCUGAGAAAACAUCUCAGAGAAUUUUUGGCUAGCAAGAAAAUGAAAAAUGAAAGAGAAGGAAAAACAGAGCAAGGCUCUGUAUAUUCUAUAUAUUUAUAUAUCUAUAUAUUGAUCGAUCCUGAUUACAAUGGAUGCAAGGGAAUAUAUAUAGAGAAGUUUUUCCAACCUUCCUAGCUAAGAAAUCUUAUGGUUGGUGGAUUACAAGGAGAAGAAUGGAAAUUUAUACAAAAAUAUCUGAAGAAAAUAUCUAAAAGAGUCGGUGCACAAAUAUCCCAGUUUCGCACGUUGCAUGGUGACUUGCGAAAAUUUCGCAAGUUGAUUUUGCAACUUAGAAUCCAUUUUUGCACGUUGAGCUCCAAGUUCGCAAGUUGCAAAAUCACUUUCGCAUGUUGGACUUCACCGCGAAUGCACAGCUGCCAUCCACUUUAAAUUUCGCACGUUGGAGUUCCAAUUUAGCAAGGUGCGAAAUUGUCCUUCAACUGGAUGCAGUUGUCUUGCGAAGGCCAUAUCUUCCUCAUUUCAGCUCCAAAUUGUACACGGUUUGAAGCGUUGGAUUCUUGACUUCCUGAGAUUUGAAAUGGUAUAUAACAUGUAGAAAAUGGACUUCUGGAAGUGCUCCAAAAGUGCAAAGGAAGACUGCAGCUGCUGUCCUCUGUUUUCCUUACUCUGUUUUCCUUACUCUAUUGCUUUUUCCUUGCAUACUUUGAACGACUAAGGCAAAGGACUAUGAGGCUCCAAAGCUUGGUUUCUUCAUGAAUUUGAGCUUCCAAAAGCUUUGCCAUGAACUAUAUACAGCUCUCCCUCAUUCUUAAUUUGCUUUGGUGAGCUAAAAACUAUCAAAAACACCAAAACUUAACACAAUUUGAUUAGAAACGAUUGCAAGGGUCCCUAACAUGCCAAUUGAGUUAAAAGGUAAUAAUUACUACUCAAGGGUGUUUAAAAGAGCUAAUUACAAGCUACAAAAUAGCAUGUUUUGAGUAGUAAUCACUAAGGAUCAUUUUUCUUUUUAAAAUGAUACAAUUUUUUAGAAUCUUAGGUCCAUUUCUAACCAAUCUUAGGUUUCAUAAGUUCUUUGUUAAUUUGUUUUUUUUAGUUUCUACUUAAAUAUCUCAAUAUUAUGCUAUAUAAGAUCUGAUAACUUUCCUUAGAAUAUCAUAAAUCACUUUUUAAUCCAUUAAAACAAAGUAAAUAAAAACUUUGAAUGUUAGAAAACCUUAAAAUUUUCUAUGGCAAGUGAUUAAUAAGCCUUCUUAAGUUUAAUUAAUAUAGUAGAUUUUAAGUCCUUAAAAGUAAGGAACACCAUGCUUGUUUUUAAAUUCACAUAUUAUGUUUGACUUAGUCUAAAAUUGUUUCCCGAAGUGAUCUUUGACAUCUUGGCUAAAAUUAAUUUAAUAUUUUUUCCCAGAAAAUAAUGUCAUCACUUGCAAAAAUUGGAAACACCCCCACUUGGAAAAAGACAACCAUGGUUGAAAGUAUGAUUUCCAUACCAUAUAUAAUGAUUCUACCAUUCAAAAUAAAAUAAAAUAAAUACAAAUGAUGAAAAUGAUGAGAUCUAAUUGAGAGGGAGAAAAAGUUAUGAUUUAUGUAGAUCAACAUUUAUUGUAUUAAAUAAAAAUUCAGCAAACUAUGUUCAAAUUGAUUAAAUGUUAAAUAAAUUACAUUUUGGCAUGAUUGAAUGAUCUUCUAGAAUUCAAAAUUGAAAUAUGUAAGCUAGAUAUUAAGUUGAUAUAUACCCUUGACAAUCAAUAUUUUUGGUUUAUUUUAGUCAUAGUAUACCUUGUUUGGUAUUGAAAUAUUUUCAAGGUUGACUUAGUCAUUAAUGAUUUCCUUUGGAUGAUGUUGAUUCAUUCUUGAAAUCUUGGAUUUUAAUUGUAUAGCUAAUUACUUGAUUUAUUUUCGUUCUUGCUAAUAUCUCAAGUUUCUUUGGUUUCUUAGAACUUUAGGUUGUAAUUGUUGUCUCUCAUAUCUUUCCAAGGUUUUUUUUAGUAUAAAGGGUUGUUCUUUUGGCCUAUUUUACUUUUUUAAAAAAAUAUGAUGUUUUGAAAGCUUAAAGGAGUGUUGUUAUUGAGAUUAGCGCUUGAUGAUAGGAAUGGAGAGGUUAAGUGCUCCUUAUAGUACUCAAGCACUCUUAAGGGCUUCUAACACCCUUCGAGAGCUCAAUGGCUCAAAUUUGCUUCCAACGCCCUUCUAGCGCUCAAAGUGCUUGAGCUCUAAUCUAACUUGGAGUGCUCUUGUGCAUGCUAAAGGCUAUAAAAAGUAUUCCAACACCUUGUUGUGUUCAUUUCCUCUAUCCCCAAUCAUCUCCUAUGCUCUUUCUUGGUGUCCACUUGUCUUUUAUCAUUUUUUUGGUUUGGUUUUCACUUGUUCCAACUUUGUAAGAGUGUUGUUGCUUUCUUCUUGAGCAUUUCCAAUGGUUCAUUUUUACCAAGUAGCUUCUAGAUUUUCAUGUGUCUUAUUUUUCACUCUAGGCUAAGUGUGUCGAGUCAUAGGCAUCCUAGGGAGUCAUCUCCUGCCCCUUUAUUCCCUGAGCCUACCAUGGCCAUCCCCUUGACCUUGAUGAUCUUUCAAUUGAGUGUUUCUUCUUUAUGGUGUCUUGAGAGUGAUACCGUGCUCAAUUCUUUGUUCAGAGGAUUGAGAUCAAGUGGGGUAUCGCCUUGAGCACUUUUUGUGACACUGGUCUUCCAACUAUUUUCAGCGAGAGAGGUUGGAAGCCUUUUAUGUCACUGUAGACCCUCAAUUUUGUCCUCCUAGCACAUGUCCUAUUAGAUACUCGUUCGAUACUUUACAGUUAGCUCCUUGGUGGCUCAUAUCUACUCACGCUACUUACCUUUCUUGAACCACCUCGGAGACUCUGAUUGAGGGAUUGCCUAACCCCUUAUUAUGACCUCGGUAGCCCUAAUUUAGACUUAGACACUUUCCUAAACGCCUUAGGCCCACUUAGAUACUUCAUUGGGCUUAGUUCACUUAGGCCCACUUUAGCACUUUUAAACCCACUUUUUAAAUGACUUGCAUGAUUGCAUAGCCUACAUGACUUGUGUGGCUUAUAUGGAUUUCUUUAUUAUUUUUAUUUUAUUUUAUUUUAUCUUAUUACAAGUUUUCUAAAUCAUAUUUCUUGGCUUUUUGGGCAUGAGGAAACGGGCCGCCACCUAUUUGGAAGGAGAACCAACAAAAUUUUGAAAAAGAGGAGAUUUUGUUUUUAGAAGGAUAGAACAUAUAUUAUUUCCAUGGGGGAAUCGGUUAUAAAAGGGAAGAAAAUAAAAAAGAGAGACACAAAAAGGAAGGAAGGAGGGGAUUUUCCUCCAGCAGAUUUGGAGGGUUCUUUUGGAAGGCUGAUAUAUAUACGAGAGAGAAGAAAGAGAAAAGAGGAAAAAGAGAGAGGAUUCUUUGAUUGUAAAAGGUGGAAAGGUGCACAAGAGCGGAAGAGGGAGAUUGCAACCAGGGUUCUGCCAGGUACGCUUCUUGUUCUUUUUUAUUUAUUUAUUUUUAUUAUUUUGGUAUUCACAUUUACAUUCCACUCUAGAUUCUCUGGCUGUUUUCGAGAAGUUGUUCUUGCUGAUUGGAGUGGACAUUGAGGGCCACUUAUUUGCGUUGUUGAAUCGAAAUUUUCCUUCAAGCUUGCUCUGUUACGAUUGUGUUUUUGAUUUCUCUUAUUCUUUUUUAUAAAUAGCUGAAACAAAGACUUAUGUUUGAACUUUAAUGUUUAUGGAAUCUUGAUAUAAUUUUAACUAAGCUUGUCUUAGCGUGUUUAAAUUCUUCAGAGCCCUUUUGAAAAUAAUGAAAUGUGGCUUAUCUGCUUACCCACCUUUAUCUCCCUUGCUUUGUUUUUCUUGGAUUAUUUUUUUCUUCUUUGCUUUUGCAUCCAUAUUUCUUCCCUUUCUCCUUUGGUGUUCUGGGCCAUGGAGACCAUGAUGGCAUGAGUAUUUCAUGAAAGGUAGAAACUUUAUAAAGGCUGUAUAGAAUGUGGGCCGUUUGUGGGGUUUGGCACAUGAUAGCAGAUUGUUGAAUCAAAUUGGGUAUUUCCUCUUCAAGGCAAGAAAGUCGUUAAACUGGGUUCCCGAUGUGAUUUAGUUAGAUGCAGAAGUUGCUUCAAUUUUUGGGGUUCUCUGUUCGUGAUAUUCUGGGCUGGAAUCCUAGCGGGAUCAGUACAACACCUCUUCUCACUGCUACUGUUGUUUGUGUUCCUACAGAAGUGCACGCUGAAGAUAUUGAUGAAGUCGAGUUCAAAAUAUCUCCAGGUGAGAUCACAGCCGUUAUGAAGUAGGUUUAGAGGAACCCAUUGAAAUUGAAAGAUGAGGAACCUUCAGGUUUCAGUGAGUCAUUAAUUCUAGCAUUUUAAUAAUUCAAGAUAUGAAUAGACAACUCAGAUUGAAAGCUAAAGCAUAUUCUUGCAUUUGAGGAUGAACCUGAUCCUCAGCCAAUUAUUGAUGUUAGAUCAUUGAUAUAUUAUGGUAAAUCUCAUGAUGGAAAUGCACAUUACUUCAGGAUCACUCUUUUUGUUACUGCUAUUAGAUCCUAUUACAGUGAAUCUUGCUUGCUUCAUGGUGUGGGAUAGAUGCUAUCUAAGGGGGCAGUAUAACUGGAGUAAAUGCUGAAGUGCACAGGAGUAGUAUAACAGGGGCAGUUGCAACUCUGAAACAGAGAAUGCUGUUUGUCAUGAAGAUGAAGCCUUUUUUUUUGGAGACCUUUUCUCUGAGGGUGGUCGGUCUGUAAGAUUUAUAGAUGGAUGUGAUCAAGCCCCUGCUUUAGUCAAUCUGACUUCCAAUUACUGCAAUAUGCCAAUUCAAGCUGCUUCAGAAGUAUUGGGAUUUCUAAAAGACUGUGCCUUUUCUCUAGAAUGGCACACCUCAGUUUAUGAGGAUGGUUGUAAAAAGCUUAGUGGGAAGCACAUGGAUAUUCUGCUUUCCAUACUCAAUUGUCAGGGUCGCUAUUCUGAAGACAAUUUCUGACAGCAUUACAGGUUUACAUGAGCAAAGGAAGACUGGAUAUGUCCAUGAAUUUUGUUUUGAAUUGCUGCACAAUCUUCUCACACGCCAUGCUUUGUUUGAUUCACUUGAAGAAUACUUUUUUGGGCAAAUCAUUAAUGUUGAUAGUGGUUGCUUCAUUUACAAUGAUCUAACCCUAACUUUGUUAGCUCACUUUCUCACUUGUAGAGUAGGUUCGGCUGGUAGCCAAUUGAAAAACAACAUUUUACAAGGAAGAUAUAGAUUUCAUUGUUGAGAAGACAAAAGCUCUCUAUUCAAAAUGUCCAAGCCUCAAGGAACCUUUUUUGGGACUCUUCCCUCUAUGUUUCACAUUGAGAUUCUCCUUAUGGCAUGCCAUUUAUCUACAAAAGUUGAAAACAUAAUGAAUGCAUAGAACCCCUUGUAUUGUUGAUGCAAUCUGAUAGCAUCAUAGCCAUAGAAUCAGGUAUUUAUGCUUUUGAAGGAUUAUUGGAUGGUGAAUAACUAGUGGAGCUUGCAACAACUUGUGAUAUUGUGGAUCUUAUUGUUAGCUUGGCUUCUGGAUCAAACCAUUAGCUCACUGAGAUUUGCAUCUGUGCUCGCACAAAGCUGGGGAAGGAUCGAACUCCCCUCAAGCUAGACACUGGUCAAAGCUAGUAUUAUUGAUAAUUGUCUUCAGCUACUCCCUGUUGCACCCGGUUCAUUAUGCUUUUCAAUUAGAGAACUGUUAUGCACCCUAACAUAUAGCAGUAUAAUUUCUAAAGGCUCAGCUGCUGCAAGAAUUGUGGAACCCUCCUUUUUAUGGUUUUGCUUCGUCCAGAUUUCAGUAUGUGGGGACAGCAUAGUGCUUUGCAAAUUCUUGUAAAUAUUUUGGAGAGAUCAUAAAGCCUUGCAACACUAAAAAUUACUCCUAGCCAAGUCAUUGAAUCACUGAUUUCAUUUUUUUAGAACCCAUAUCUCAAGCAAUCCAGCAGCUAGGCACAGAGUUACUAUCUCAUCUUCUUGCACCGGAACAUUUUCAGCAGGAUAUUACAACAAAAAAAAAAAAAAUGCAGUUGUACCACUCGUUCAGCUCGCAAGAAUUGGAAUAUUGAACCUAGCAGACAACAAUCAAGGCAACAGAGAACAUCUCUAUAAGCUGGCCAAAGGCAAUUGCAAAUAUUUAACAGUUGUCACACCCAUAGCAGUUGAUUACAAUGUCUAAAAAAUGAUUUUGAUCGCCUAUCUAUUGGAGAACAAUCAGAACCAAUGCAGCAUGGUCAAUGACAUUCUCAAUCACAAGGCAGGCCUGCAUAUCAGGCAACUUGUUGCAUGAAUCAGCAUGUCCAAGAGAAGUUCCGUCAGUCAGAGCAGAGGACAGAGAUAUUCAAUGGUGGUAGGGAAUGUCGAACCAAUAUCUUCGACUCUAGGUACACAAUUGUCAAUGCAGUUUCCAGCCAAGUCUCCUAAUUAUAAGUCUUAUCAUCUCAAGGAGAAUUACAGAACUCUCCUCUUACAAGGACAACUGAACUCUGAAUCGCACUUAUCAAAACAAUUCGGCAAUGUUAAAGAGAUGGCUAAAGAACUGGAUACACUUUUGCAAUGUAUAAAAGGGCCAGGUGGUUUCAGGGAUGCCUGCACCAUAUUCCAGAGAAGUUCAGUUAUAGAAUUAGAGUAAGGCAUAGGCACAGGCACCCUUUCUGAAAAACUGCUGAAUGUGGUGGAGCAUAAUUGAUCAAUAGCAUGGGGAGUUUCAUCAUCUGCUUGAUAAGACAGUGCAAGUUUUGGCAAGGAAAGCAUACAUGCAGGGAAUUGAUAAGCAAGCCACUGAUAGCAGAAUAUUGGGACCUCUAGAGUCGGUAGAAGUUGACUUCUGAACUAGAACUGAAGCGAUGAAAUAUAUUAAAAAUAAACUAGGAUCUGACAAAUCAGCUGAUUUAAUCAGAGAAGGCUGUGGAUCCCUUUGACAUAUUUUCUGAGAAUUUGAGCCAUCCAGACAAGGGUAUUUGUGUUUUAACUCUGAGAAUUUUGUGUCACUAUGAACCUCUGAAUGGUGAAACAAAUGUUCAGCCAGUUGAGAAGAAAACGCAAACUGAAGUUUCUCCUACUUCUUAUGCAGAAAUACAGCGCAAUAAUGUUCUUCACAUCCUCUUCUCCAUUGAAGAUACACCUCUUUCAAUUUCUACCAGUAGGAAAGUCAGUCUAUCCAUCUCUAAAAUACAGAGGGACCUCUCUACUGCUAGGAUUUGUGAAGCAUAUAUACCAGUUCUUUUGAAUGGGAUUAUUGGCAUUAUCCAUAACCGAUUUAGUUAUUUAUAGGAUCUAUUGCAAGCAAGGGAAUUCAUUGAUAACUUGCUCCCCUUUUUAUGAAAGAAAGCUCAGAAUUCUGAUGCAUGUGUGGAAGCUUUGCAAGUUACUCGAGAUAUUAUACAAGUUUCAGGGAGUGAAACUUCUCCAAAAAGAUUUCGAAUGCUGUUUCUUCUCUUCUAAUUUCCGCUAGGACUGGAUAUGCGUUUGGCUAUUUGUGAUCUUCUUGGUGUUCUUGUUGAAACCGACCCUUCGAUACUCUGUGGUAAAUCUUAUAAGUGAAUUGAAUGCGACCCCUGUUAUGGAAAUGGGUGGCCUAGAUUAUGACACCAUAGUUCAUGCUUAUGAAAAGAUUAGCAUGGAGUUCUUUUAUAUACUAUCCCAGAGAAUCAGGCACUGGUUAUUUUGUCGCAUUGUGUAUAUGAUAUGUCAUCCAAUGAACUGACCUUAAGGCACAGUGCAUAUAGGUUAUUGGUUUCUUUGUUGAAUUCUCCGUCCAAACUCUUUAGACUUGAAGUGAAGAGUGACUGCGAAAUGUCUGAAGCAAUAGUAACAUCCAUAGCUGAUGGUUAUUUGGACUGAAGCAUGCAUUCAGCGCAUGAUAAAAAAAUUCCUUUUGGAACUGGCAGUAUGUUGGGCAUAGAGUUUGCUAAGAGAGGUUCUGAAACUGUUGAGGUGGCUCUCUAUAUUUGAUUGAAUGCGAGACAUCAUAAGAAUGCUGUAGGGGAGAAGAAUGCUGCAAGUCUGGGUUGAUGGGCAACUUUAAUGAUGGACAAUAUGAAGUUGCUGCACAACUUCAUUCUCAAGCUCAGCAGAUUUGUGUUGUUCUAUAUCCUAAAGAUGCUGCAGAAAGUGGAAAGCUUUUGUGAUUGAAGCAAUUUUUUUCUAUGCAGUGCCUCACUUCAGGACAUUACUUCCAGAUUCAAGGAGAGGAAAUAUGGGGGCUUAUGGCAAUGGUCUGAAUUUCCCAACAAGAUAGCAGUACAGUCGAAUGAUACACAUCCUACCCUUGCAAUUCCAGAAUUGACGCGAUUACUGAUGAACGAUGAAGGACUUGGAUGGGAUGAAGCUUGGGAUAUGACAUCAAAGGUCAUUUGUAUAUCUCAUAUGGAAAUUGAGCUUUUGUGUUCUGGAGAUCAUGUCCCAGGUUUGAGAACCUGCUCAGGUUGGCAUGCGAAGAUCACCAAUCAAAUACAUAAUUGGCCUUUGCUCCUAAAUCUAGCAAAAAGAAAGAAAUAUUUAGCAUUUGUUCAGUUCGAUGGUGGCAAAGUCUUUGAAUAUAUCAGAUUUAGCCAUCAUGGGAGGAGCUCUAAAAACUGAGGAUAUGAUUCUUCAACCUUCAGUACUCCAGUUAUCAGAAAUGGCAGCCUGGAGCUUGCAGUUGGCUCAUCAGAAAUGGGAGUGCUAGCUCCGGCAACCUGGCCAUUUGCAAUGGAGAUGCUGCCUUGUAUUAGAAGCCGAUGUCACCUCCAGCAUCACCAAUUCCUUCCCAUGUCCACCUGUCACUCCAGAAUGACCAACUGAAUGAACUUGUGGUGAAAAAUCAGCAAAAGUCAGCAAGUUUCAGCUGAUUAUAUACCAAUGCUCAAAACGAUCACUCCUGUAGCCCAACUGACAACCAAGAACCUGUAAUUGGGCGAUUUAAAUGUCAUAUCAAGGAUCGUGAGCGCACGAAAUGCUGAUCCACACCAAAGAGAUAGCAAAAUAAUGCUUAUGUUCCCAUAACACGUUCCCAUAACACAUCCAUACAGUUGGAAUAGGCCAAACGGUCACUCAACCGCUAACUAUUCGGGAAGAUCUUGACAGCUCCAAAAGACAUCAGUAAUGAGCAGAUCAUCCAACUUUGCGCCCUCCAUGUGGUGGACCUAGUUCAUAGAACAGAGAAGAGAGAAGAAGCCUUCAAGAGGAAUAAGAGGAUAGUGGAGCUUGGUGUCUUCUUGGUAGCCACUCUCGAAAGUCCAGUAAUGCAGGAUCCAUCAGAAAGUCUCUAGCUUACUGCCCAUUUGCCUUCACACACGCGAAACAGGCUGCUGAAUCCUAUUGACUGAGGGUUAAUUCCUGAUUGUGGGUAAUUUGAUACGCCUGAAGAAUGAAGAGUUAUUUGGGAAAUUGGACAUCAAAAAUCAAUUAAGACGGGAUGCAUUCAGUUGAAGAAAUUUUACUGUGAGCAAGUUGACAAUAGAAACAGAAUUCAGGAUUUCAACUGGACAACGGGUAACUGGUUACGUGUAUAAAGUGGAAAAUAAAUGGAUCUGGUUAAGGAUAUCGCGUCAUAUUAAGGCUCAACUAUUUCUACUUGAUACGUCAUGUGAACCUAAUAAACUUCAAGAAUUCCAGAAGCACUGUGGAGUAGGAAAAGCUGUUUCUGGUUAUGUUUUAAAUGUCAAUAAGAAGCUUUAAGACAUGCCAAUAAACCGCCAAGGUGCCUAGUGAAGGUUGUGACCUAUAUCUAGAUGAUUUUGGGAUGCCCAGUUGCAACUUCUGAACACAGGGACCUUUUCGAAGAGAAAACAACAACAAAUUUCAGCAACAACCUCAUCAGUUUCAACAGCAGUUCGUUCCACGUCAACAUCAACAGAAGCCAUCAGAAUCAAUUCCAGCAGAUCUAUUCUGAAGACCAUUCUAGAGCACACUACCAUUUUCCUCUUGCACCCUCCUGUUUUCCUCGUGCUUUUACGUGUUUUGAAUUGUGUUUUCAAAAUCGUUUUCAUCCAAAUAACCCUAACUUUAGAGAAUUAUCCCCAAACUCUCUUUAGGCAUAAUAUCCAGAUUUUAACAUACCAUUUGCUGUCAUUUUCCCUUCCGGCAUGCAUUUUCAUCAUUUUCAAUUAUUUUCAUGAUUGUCUCGAUUUUCAACAAGCAUGAACAAGCUUCAUGAUUCCAAACAAUGGAAUUCAUAGAAUCAACUCAUGCGAAAUUAAUUAGGGCUUUGGUGGGGGCCCGACAUUCAUGAUAUUUUCCUCAAUAUUGUUUGUUUGACUGUGCUUCCUCUAUGUGGAUACAUGAGAUUGUUUUACACUUAUUAUUGAGCUAACCUUAUUUCUCAUUUUAGCGCACAGUUUGCUAUCCAAGUAUGCUCUCUACCACCACACUUUUCGAAAUUUCAUGAAUAUGCAUGUCAUUACCCUCGUUUGGUGUCAUACUUGAUUGUUUUGACAUUUGUUUGAUUGUUUGAUCAUAUUUGAUGAAGAUGCAUGUUGUGUGAUAUAUCAUCUAAACUAAUCCAUUGAUGUUUUAUAAUAGCGCCUAAGAAGUGGUUUAGGUACACACCCUAACUCUCCUUUAUUGUGACUGAUUUCCUUAUUUAGCAUGUUAUUUUCUGAAAUCACCUAGCUUACUUAGGUAUCUACAAUUAAUCAAUUAAUUGCCACAUUUCCCCCAAUUUAGUCAAUAAAGACCUCUUUAGGGCUUAGAGGGGUGCUACCUCCUAAAGGUACCUUCCUAAUAAGUAAACUGAUCCCUGGACCUACACUCAGGUUUUUCAAAGUCAUGCUUUUUUCCAAAAAUUAUGGAGUCACAUUUUAGGGUUUUUUUAUUUUCCCUUUAAAAUAAAAAUAAAAUAAGUGGCGAUUCCGACUUUUUUCCAAAAUUAAUUUUUUCAUCAAUAAAAAGCGAGUCUCGCCAAUCGAGUGGGGACGCACGUGAAAAAUACUGGUCUACAAUCACUUUUUAUAUACCUUUUUCAAAACUCCUCUCAUCAAACAUAGAUUUGUGGGUCGGUCGCCUAUCUCAUCUAUGCCAUUCCCUUUGGGCAAUCGAUAGAUAUCGCCUAGGUUAUCUUUUACAUCAUGGCUACAUAUUGUUAGUCGUCUCAUCUUGGAAGCCUUCCUUUCAUUCUGGUUAUCUCCCACAUCCUAGUUGAUCUAGUUUUGAGAUUGAUUAGUAGCUAGGUAUGUUGGACUGUAUGCUCUCAUCAGCAAGAGUUCAUGGUCUAAGCAUGUUAGCCAUAUGUUUGCCUCGAUUGCUUUGAAGGUUGUUUAGGAGAAGGAGGAGAUCUAUGUGAUGGAGUAGGAUCCACAUGUCGAGUUGAGUGAUGAGCACCUAAAACCCAUACCUAGAGGGUGUAAUAAUCAUGAGAGAGCAAGCUCUUCAUGAUCAUCAUUCGGCCCUUGGUCCUUGUUUGUGACGAGUUUAAGCUUUUAUAAUUGAUAGAUUCUAUUAACUAGCUUCACUUGUGGAUAGAUGCAUCAAGUACUCAUGUGGACACACACCAUCACAAGUUUAUGAAGCAUAUAGAUGCUUGCUUUUAAGGUCUCAAUCCUUGCCUUAUGGUUGAUGUCUCAGAGUGCUUUCGACUCCGUAAACUUCAUCUAAUUUGGAGUUUUGGUUGUUCUAUGCUUAUGUGAAUUAGUUCCUUUUUGCACUAAAGUCUCCUUAGCUCAGUUUAUCCUAUAUUUGUUGGUCUGGAUGUACUUUUUUUAUCCUUUGUAUCUAAAACCUUUUGAUCAUAUUUAGAUAUAAAUUUACAUCCAUUAUUUUUUUUCCCUGUUUUUUUUUUCUUGCUUUAUCAUUCUCUUUGUCAUUUUUAUGACAAAAAGGAGGAAGAUUGUUAUUGAUUGGUUGGUUGAUUGCUUGUUAGAUAUCCAUUGUAUGCAUGACUCACAUUCAUUUACCCUUUCACUCUUAUCAUAAUUUGAUAGAAUUAAUGAGUUAUAUAUAUUUUUUCGACACAUUACUUUACUUGGGUAUUUUGUUUGUUGGUGUGUGCAAGUUACAAGUAUUGAGGUAUUGCUCACCUUUGGAUGUGGUUUAUCAUCAUUUGCAUGUUAGAAAAUGAACUGGUUUAGACGAGACUUAUUGAGAGAUUUGUUAACUUUAUUUGAGAGUACUAGGGGGAGGGGGGCUUAUGUAAUCUAUAUUUUGUCACAAAAUUGCCAAAGAGGGAGAUUGUUGGUAUGUUAGCUUAUGUGGUUUAAUAUUGGCAAUUUUUUCCCAUUUAUUUUAACAUUAGAACUUUCUCUAGAUUGUGUCUUGCUUUCCAUUUGAGACUCGAGGUUGUUGCUGGAUCAAUUGGGAUUACAUAGGUAAAUAGAGAAAGGCUCGGGAAAGGCAAAUUGGUGUUUGGUAAGGCAUGGUGUAGAUAAAAUUUUUUUAAAACUAAGUGAAUUUUUUUUUAAAGUGUUUUGAAAAUCCCUGGAAAGAGUGUUCAAGCGCUCCUAAGAGCACUCAGUGCUCAAAGGGUGCUUGAGCAUUUGUGAUAGAAUUCUCUAGAAUUUUGGAGAUAUGUCUUUUCUGUGUUUAAAAGUUCUAUUUUUUGAAUUUUUUAGAUUUGGUCUAUUAUAUUCCUAGGCCUAUAUAUACCUUGCAUAAACAAGUUUUUGAUGGGAUGCUCUGAGUUGAAAAAAACCUAAUUUUUCUUCUUGUCCUUAAACUCUUAAAGAAGCUUGUAGUUGCUUUUGCUGUGUUGUGAAAGAGAUUUGUAUCCCCUUAAGCAUUAAGGUGAGAUCUUCUAAAAGCACAUGAGGUGUUGUGUGGCGGAUGAAAGUGGAUUUUAGGUACCAAGGAGUAAGUUUUAGGAGUAGCUUUUGCUAGGUAAAAUUGUGUACUAUACUUUCACAUAUUGGAUUGUCAAUUUGAGGUCUUUGACCCCUUGGUUUUUACAUCCACACAUUUGUGUGGAUGGUUUCUAUGUAAAAAGGUUUGCCUCUUGUGUGUUGGUUACUUUUUAAGUAUCUCUAAUCUAAAAAGUGAUAGUUAAUCAUUUAAGUUUUUUAUUUUUGGGCUAAAAAGGGUUCAAACACUGAUUCAUCCCCUUUAGGUGUUAUCCAUACUAGAUCAUAUAACUUUCAAGAGAUCAUAAUUAAGUAAAUUACAAGUGAGCUUGAUUCUCCUAUCAAUACCCAAAUAAACUUGAGUAAAUUAAUAGCUACAAAAUUAGCAUACAAGUAAAACGGUCAUUUAGACCAUGUAAUAUAGGUUGAUUAUCCAAGAAGAACAUUCCAUGAGACUCUUUUUUAAUAAAUCAAGGGAUCUUUAAUUUGAUGAUUCUCAUGGGAUAUUUUUUAACAUAUUAAGCUAAAAUCAUAGGUCAUCCCAUUCAAUUCCUUCUAGUAAAUGAUGUUAUGAAUCUUAUACCUAUUAUUAUAUCAUAUUUAAUAAUUUUUGUAGUAUCAGGUUUCACCAUUGAAGCAAAUUUCAUAAUUUUAGAAAAUACUAAAUUUUCACUCAAUCUAUGUAAACUUAAUAAACACCAAAAAUUCCUUUAUUAAAUGCAUUUCAUAAUUUACAUAAUGUCAAUACACAUAACACAAGAAGUUGAAUAUUAAUUAAUUAAAACUUCCACAAAUUUAAAAGACCACACACAAAAACAACACACAUUUUAACAAGGAUAUAAUAAGGAGUAGAAUAAAAUGCAUUGACAAUUAGCUCAUGUCUAUGAAUAAAAAAGAGAAUGAAGAACGAUAGUGCUCUCAAAUGAGGGAAAAAUCAUUAGAAAUUUCUCUAAUAGGAGCAACAUUUGUAGUUUAUCUCAAAUGAAGGAAACUAUAAGGCAAAUCCAAUGUUCCUAAAAAGAAUGAAGAUGAUAAGAACCAAAGGGAGUAAUAUCAUUUCAAUAUAAAUGAAUAUAAAACUUAGAGGCAAUGUCUAUAACAUAUAUUUUGAAUAAAAAAGGCAAUGUCUAUACCUUCAUCCUAAUUUUGGACUACACACUUAAAGGAAAGACAAUAAUAAAAUUAUUAAAUCAAACACAAUCAUUUGGGAAGUUCCUUAGUACAAAAUGAUAAAGUAAAAGAAGUUUGAUCACAAUCGAUAUUCAUUUUACUCAUUAUAUAAUAUAUCCAUGUGUCUAUGUUUUAUUAGUUAUGAAAUUAAAUAUCAUUUUGAUCAAAUGACGAUGAUUAUACAUUCAAAAAACAUUUGAGAUCCCCAAAAUAAAAGGAUUAGUUAUUUUCUAAGAGGAAACUAAAAACUCAUUGAAGAAAAGAGAAGCGCAAAGAAGAAGCACAAAAAGUCUAGCAAAACAACAUUAGAUAUAUGGAUAAAAGUAAGCAUUACGUAAAAUAUGGCAGACCCCUCAACUUCAUUUAUUACAAGGGAAGUGGGCAUAUCAACUUAAGUUUUGGUAGAACAACCUCAGCACUAUCACAACACAAAAUUGAAGGCUUCUUCUCAUAUAUAUAUGUUAAAUCAAAUUUCAUCCUCAAACUUGGUUAUAUUUUCAACUACAAUACUAGACUCUUGAUUUCUUUCUUUGGUUUAUCCAUUCUUAAAGACCGUCUAGUUGUGGAUAAAAAGUCAACAUUGUCGAAUGACAAUGAUCACUAAGGUAGUGUUUGUUUUUUUUUUUUUUUGGCUUUUUGUUGAAAUCAAUUUGUUUUUAGAAUUUAAGUUGUUUGUUUUUCUACUUUUUCAUGUCUUAUUAUAAACUUUUUACUAAAUAGAAAAAACCAAAAUAUGUAGCUUUUUCUAAAUAGAAAAAAUAAUAUAUUGGUUUAUUUUUUUACUUUUUAAUACUUAAUAAAAAUAAAUACUACAAAAACAAAUAACCUAAUAUUUGAUACUAUUAAGCAUUAAGGUUCUAUUUAGAAUUAAGUAAAAAGACAAAUGCCACCUAAGACAACAACUAACAAUAAAUAAAACGAUAAUAGCCAAAAACCAAACAAUAAACUAAUUGUAUAGAGUUUGGUUUUAUUUAGAUGUCCUAAUUGCUCAUAAUUACCUAUAAAAAAAGUUUUAGCACUCAAAUAACAUCAAAUUUAUUGAGAAUCCUAUAUACAUAUAUAUCAUUUCAUUAACGUUGAUAUGAUAUUUCAUAAUUUAUAUAACUUCAUUAGUAAUCCAAUUUUGAAUUUACUUUUUUUUUCUUUUGCUUUAACUUCUUUGAUUUUCUUGACAAGAAAUAAUAUUACCUUUAAAAAUCUAAAGAUAGAAAAUUAAAAAAUAAAAGAAAUUUGAGAUUUGAAGUAUAGGAAAUUUUUAGAAAAUCUAAUAGUUAUGUGAACUGAAAUAUAUAUGCUUUUAAUAAUAAAUACUUUUAUGUCAUACCAUAUUUGUCACCGACUAUAUAUGUAAUUUGUGAUAUAGAAUAGUUGAUCUAAAAUAAGUAACCAAAGAUAAAAUUAAAAAAAUUACUAUUUUUUGUGGCCAAGUCUUAUCGUUAUAAUAAAAUAAAUAAAUACUUUCAUGACAAAGAAUUUUAUUAUAAAAAAGUAAAUACUUUUAUAAUUUUAAAAUUUUAUUUUUUGUGAUGGAACAUUAUUGCCGAAAAUUAUUCAUCAUUAAAAAAAUUAUGACAAAAUAUAUAUAUAUGUGUGUGUGCCAAGAGUUAUUCAUCAUUAAAAAAAUUAUGACGAAAUAUAUAUAAUUCUUUUCUUAUUCAUAGUUUAAUAUAAUCCUUGGCUUUAUUUUGUAGACAAGGCAUCAGGGAUCUUCAUUCUUGCCCGAUCUAAAGCACAGAUUGCUUCUGCCUCAAAAUGAGGCAGCACAAGCUGGGACCCGGUACAAUGUACCCUUGAUGAACUCCCUUGUCCUUUAUGUGGGAAUGCAGGUAAUGUGCCCCCUGCCCCCCUCCCUUUUUAUUUUUUUUAUUUUUUUUAUUUCUCUCUCUCACCUUGUAAGUUUUGGUUAAGUAACAAACCGUUGGUUCUCUUCGUAUUAUUGAGAUAUUCUCUUUGGUUUAUUAAUCUCCAAGUGGAUGUAUGUAUUGCAGACCAUCCAGCAAUUACAAACAAAAAGCUCGCCUCCACUUGCACAGCAGAUGGCCCACAAUGGUCCGCUGGAGUUGUAUUUGAUGGGUUCUGCCAUGGACAUCUUCCAGACUCUGAUUGCGGAGCUUGAUACAGAAGGGCGUUACCUCUUCCUUAAUGCCAUUGCAAAUCAGCUGCGCUAUCCCAACAACCACACACAUUUUUUCUCCUUUGUUCUUCUCUACUUGUUUGUUGAGGCAAGCCAGGUGAGACUCCCCCGACUUCCAACACCCUCCCAUGGGACAUGAUCACCUUCUUAUAGUCUCAACCUCUGAUGGUGCAGGAAAUCAUCCAGGAGCAAAUUACAAGAGUUUUGCUGGAACGCCUGAUUGUAAAUAGACCCCACCCAUGGGGCAUUCUCAUCACUUUUAUCGAGCUCAUCAAGGUAAUUAAUUUGAUGAUUCUUUUUUUCUUCUUUCUAUCUGGUCCACACACGUUUUUUCUCUAAAAAUAGUUAAUGAAUUUCUCUCCUUUUUGUGUUAGCAGAAUUCAAGAUACAACUUCUGGAGCCGGACUUUCACAAGGUGUGCGCCGGAGAUUGAGAAGCUGUUUGAAUCGGUUUCUCGAUCUUGCGGUGGACCCAAACCUGUAGAUGAUUCCAUGGUCUCCGACAACAUGCACUGACUGUUUCUCUCAUUUGUAAAUAACUAGCGUAAUUUUAUUACUGAUAAUGUCCAUAGAUAGAUGUAAUUAUGGUUUCUAUCUUUUGCUGUUUCUGUAUCUUGUGAUGUUUAUGUAUUUGAUCGUAAUCAGAAAAAGGAUUACGUACUUUUUUAUGGGAAACAUCUUAGCUGACUAUAUAUUAUGUAUGAAGGAAAAUUUAACUAAUUUGGCAAUGACUAUUGUGCAACAGAACUUUCGGUUCAGAUUAUGACCAUAUAAAAGGUAUAUAUACUUGCAAGGGUUGUCCAAAUAAAAAAAAAAGUGGCCGUAAUGAGUUUAAGCAAAUUUGUCCCCCCUCCCUCCAACAAAAAAGGGGAAAAUAGUAAUUUUUUUCAUACAUUUUUGGAUUCUUUUUCACUUUCUUUCUUUUUUCUGUGAUUUUCAUUAAGAUGGUGGCUAUGGUCGAAAUGUUUGAGGGUUUAAUUUUUGGAUCAACCAUUGGUUGUUUUAUGUAGUUGAGUUGUGAUAGGGCAAAAAUUUAGGCGUGUAUAAAAAAUUCUUACUAGUAUCAAUUUUUUGGAUCUAGAUUACAGGUUUAGUGUGCUUACCAAGAUCAAGAUGUCCUUGAUAAACUCCUAUUGGUGAAGAUUGUUGCAAAUCCGUAGAUGGUCUUCAAAACUCAGUAAUAUUCUACUUGAUGAUUUGUCCUUGAAACUUGGCACUCAAAUGGUAGAAAUAUGGGAGGGUGGAGGCUAUGAUUCUCUCUCUCUCAUCUAUGAGAGAGAAUAGUGAAUGUAAGAGUAAAGAUGGUAUUUAUAGACUUCCCUUUGGCUUAGUAACUUGAGCGAACUUAAGUCCAAGGGUCAUAAUUGAUUAAUUAGUCUAAUUGAGCUCUUAUUAGUCAAUUAGCACAGUUUAAAGAAAUUAUUCAUUGAGAGCAAGUCACUAUCUAAAAAAACUUUGAUCAAACAUAAAUUGGAACAAAAUUGUCAACAUAUAAAUAAGACUCAAUGUUCUAACAUUUUCAAAAACAAUUACCAAACAAGACCUAAAUAUCUUUAGCAUGAUUUUCUUUUACUUGAUAAAUUGAUGCAUAUGGAUGAUGAAAAAUUAUUUUUUUACUUAAAAAAUAUGGAUUUUGUCACUACUUUUGAGGGUUAAUCAUAUCAUUUUAACUUGAAUACAUGCUAAAUCUUUUUUUUUUUUAGAGCAUUAAUGUGUGUUCAAGUGAGGAUAGAGGAAUCGAGGGAAAGUGAUCACAAGAGUUAUGGAAGGAAAAAACAAAUGCUAAAGCAUUCAUUUGAAGCUCCAAAUAGCCAAUGAGAAGAGAUAAAAGCUUAAAUUUAGUUGAUGUUUGAUACAUGUUGCUUGUUUUUUUCCUUUUUAAAAUAUAGAAAAUUAUAAUUUUGAAAGUAUUUUUAAAAACAUAAAGUAAAGCUUUGAAGGAAUCAUUUAUAAAGGUCCAUUCGAGGAAGACUCUGAAGGAAUUAUUGGGAGCACAUGGCAUGUUUUUACUUUUAAAGGCUGCGGACCCAAACUGCAUGAAAUGUAUGUGGAUGAGACUUUGGAAGGGAGAGGCACAUAUGGAGUGGCCGAGUUUGAUUCCAAUAAGGCUGCCUCUUAAUGUUUUGAUGCUGAUUUUGAAAUGUGGAUAAGAUUUUGGAAGGGAGAGGCACAUAUGGAGUGACUGAGUUUGAUUCCAAUAAGGGUGCCUCUUAAUGUUUUGAUGCUGAUUUUGAAAUGUGGAUGAGACUUUGGAAGGAAGAGGCACAAAUGGAGUGGCCGAGUUUGAUUCCAAUAAGGCUGCCUCUUAAUGUUUUGAUGCUAAUUUUGAAAUGUGGAUAAGAUUUUGGAAGGGAGAGGCACAUAUGGAGUGGCCGAGUUUGAUUCCAAUAAGGGUGGCUCUUAAUGUUUUGAUGUUGAUUUUGAAAUGUGGAUGAGACUUUGGAAGGGAGAGGCACAUAUGGAGUGGCCGAGUUUGAUUCCAAUAAGGGUGGCUCUUAAUGUUUUGAUGCUGAUUUUGAAAUGUGGAUGAGACUUUGGAAGGGAGAGGCACAAAUGGAGUGGCCGAGUUUGAUUCCAAUAAGGGUGCCUCUUAAUGUUUUGAUGCUGAUUUUGAAAUGUGGAUAAGAUUUUGGAAGGGAGAGGCACAUAUGGAGUGGCCGAGUUUGAUUCCAAUAAGGCUGCCUCUUAAUGUUUUGAUGCUGAUUUUGAAAUGUGGAUGAGACUUUGGAAGGGAGAGGCACAUAUGGAGUGGCCGAGUUUGAUUUCGAUAAGGGCGGCUCUGAAUGCUUUGAUGUUAGGUUUUGACAAUGACUUCGAUGAUGGCUUUUCAUUGGAAGGUUGGGUAUGUUUGGUUUUCAAAAAAAUUGAGGGAAAGAAAAUAUAAAAAAAAAAUUAAAAAUAAAAACUCCAAAUUCCUUUUUCAAAUAUAGCUUAAUGAACAAUAUUCAAGUCAUUAGCAUACACUAUAAUAACUGUGAAUUCAAUUUUUGACUUCCUUAUGGAAACACAUGGACCAAAUGGGUUAUUUGCUAAGGUUGUUGUACUAUGUGUUUGAAUUGGUCCAACUAUAUAAAAAUUCUUGCAGUUUAAUUGAUAAAACCUUCCCAUCUGAUGUUUUAACUUUGAAAAUUAUAAUUUUGAAAGUAUUUUUAAAAACAUAAAGUAAAGCUUUGAAGAAAUCAUUUAUAAAGGUGCAGGGCAUUCGAGGAAGACUUUGAAGGAAUCAUCGGGAGCACUGCAUGAAAUUAUUGAUGUCCUUUUGACAACCUGGCAUGAUACCCCUCAGUCCUAAUCAAAGGGCCCAGUUUGAAUUAUUGAACCCAUACCAUUUUCUAAAUUUGCAAAGAUGAUUUCUGAUCAUCUCAUUUAUCUUGUUUAGCAUUGCAGUGAGCAGUCAUCAACAACUUCAACACCAUGGCUGAAUCGUUUUUGUUUAGCAUCGCAGACAACGUUCUGGGGAAGAUCGGCUCUGUCACUCUCCAAGAAAUUGGCUUAGCAUGGGGCGUCAAGACUGAACUGCAAAAGCUGGAAGCCACCUUAACCGCUAUCAAAUCCGUCCUCCUGGAUGCUGAGGAGAAGCAGUGGAAGGAUCGACAGCUACGUGAUUGGUUGGGAAAGCUCAAACAUGUGUGCUAUGAUGUGGAAGAUGUGCUCGAUGAAUUUCGGUACCAAGCUUUGCAGCGCCAAGUGGUGAGUCAUGGCAGCCUUAAAACAAAGGUACUUUGCUUCUUUUCAUCUUCAAAUCCGCUUCCAUUUAGCUUUAAAAUGGGCCAUAGAAUCAAGGAGGUGAGGGAGAGGUUGGAUGGCAUUGCAGCAGAUAGGGCUCGAUUCAAUCUACAGACUUGUAUGGAGAGGGCUCCUAUGGUGUACAGGGAGACCACCCACUCAUUUGUGCAUGCUUCCGAUGUUAUCGGAAGAGAUAAGGAUAAAGAAAAAGUUUUAGAGCUUUUGAUGAAUUCAAGUGAUGAUGAUGAGAGUAUUUCAGUCAUUCCCAUAGUUGGUCUUGGAGGUCUUGGAAAGACUACUCUUGCUAAACUAGUGUAUAAUGAUCAGUGGGUAGUUGGGCAUUUUAAGAAAAGAAUAUGGGUUUGUGUCUCCAAUGACUUUGAUAUGAAAAAGGUGAUUAUAGAUAUUAUUAAAUCAAUCAAAACUACUGUGGAAGGGGGGAGUGGUCUUGGUUUGCCAAACCACAAUGAUUUGAAUAUGGAGCAAGCACAAACUCUUCUUCGUAGGACUUUAGGAAAUGAAAAAAUUUUUCUUGUCUUGGAUGAUAUGUGGAAUGAGGACCGCCAAAAAUGGAUUGAACUCAGAACUUUUUUAAUGAAUGGUGCAAAGGGCAAUAAAAUUGUUGUAACAACGCGGGGUCAUCCGGUGGCUUCGAUCAUGGGCACUGUUCAAGCAUAUAUUUUAGAGGGUCUUCCCCAUGACUAUUGUCUGUCUGUGUUUCUAAAAUGGGCAUUUAAUGAAGGGCAAGAGAAACAACAUCCAAACCUUGUAAAAAUUGGGGACGACAUUGUAAAGAAGUGUAAUGGAGUUCCUUUGGCGGCAAGGACUUUGGGGAGCCUACUUUUCUCAAAAUUUGAGCAAAGGGAUUGGUUAUAUGUGAGAAAUAAUGACAUAUGGAAAUUAGAACAAAAGGAAGGUGAUAUUUUACCUGCUUUAAGGUUGAGUUAUGAACAAUUGCCCUCUUACUUAAAAUGUUGCUUUGCAUACUGCUCAAUUUUUCCCAAGGAUGAAGUGCUUAAUAAUUUAAGUUUGGUUUGCAUGUGGAGUGCACAAGGGCUCAUUGAACCAUCCAAAAAGAAGCAAGAGUUGGACGACAUCGGAAACAGAUAUAUUAAAGAAAUGUUAUCGAGAUCCUUCUUUCAAGACUUUAAGAUCAUCAAUUGUAUUUUACAUUUAAAAUGCAUGAUCUGAUUCAUGAUCUUGCAUCAUUCAUAUCACAAACUGAGUGCACUGUCAUAGAUUGUGUAAGCCCAACUGUCUCUAGAAUGGUUCGCCAUGUGUCAUUUAGUUAUGAUUUGGAUGAGAAAGAAAUCUUAAGUGUUGUUGGUGAGCUAAAUGACAUUCGUACAAUUUAUUUCCCCUUUGUGUUGGAGACAUCACGUGGCGAACCAUUUCUUAAAGCUUGCAUCUCAAAGUUCAAAUGCAUUAAGAUGCUAGAUUUAGCGGGUUCGAACUUUGACACAUUGCCAAAUUCUAUCAGUAAUCUAAAGCAUCUCAGACUUCUCAACCUUAGUGACAAUAAGAGGAUAAAGAAACUUCCAAAUUCAGUAUGCAAGUUGUUUCAUCUGCAAACGUUGUCGCUUUACAAAUGUGAGGGAUUCAAGAAUCUGCCCAAGGAGUUUGGGAACCUCAUCAGUUUGAGGCAUUUAUGGAUCACCACGAAAUAGAGGGCUUUGACAGGGAUAGGAUGCCUGGAAUCUCUUCGUAUUUUAAGGAUUUUCGAAUGUGAAAAUCUAGAAUUUCUGCUUCAAGGGACGCAAAGCCUCACUAGCCUUCAAUCAUUGUCUAUGCGCGGUUGUAGGAGUUUGGAGACUUUGGCACCUAGCAUGAAACAACUGCCCUCGUUAAAGCAUCUCUUGAUUAGCGAUUGCGAAAGGCUCAAUUCACUGGAUGGAAAUGGGGAAGACCACAUUCCAAGGCUCGAGAAUCUACGGUAUUUGUUGCUUUCAAAAUUACCAAAGUUGGAGGCAUUGCCAGAGUGGAUGCGCAACCUCACAUCCCUUGACAAAUUUGUGAUUAAAGGAUGCCCUCAAUUGACUGAAAGAUGCAAGAAAACAACAGGGGAGGAUUGGCAUAAAAUCUCUCAUGUCUUAGAGAUAUAUAUUGAUGGC
rnacentral:lncRNA from 1 species